GUCUGCAGGGAAUUGUUAGACCACCCAUUGGAUGAUCAAAUCCAAAUUCUUGUUCAGCCUCACUUAGCAAGUCUUGGCAUGAAGGUUGGUUGAGGUAUGAUACAGGAAUGAUAAACCGCUGUCUCUCGUUCUCCGCAACAUAAACCGCUAAAUAACCUUUUGGGACAUCUGCUAAAUUAUAUGAACCUGCUCGACUUGAAUUUGAAAAAGACCGCCGAAGAAUUUUCUUUGCAUGAGUUACACUUGGACGACGGAAACCCAUGGUUUUAUGUCUCUCUAGAGAAAUGUCCGGUGGAAGUUUAUCGGAGCAAGAAGAAGACAAGAGUUGAGAAUAUGCAGAGACUUGAAUGGAAGGCAAUCAAAGUCUCAGGAAAUAUAUAUCGUUAAAGUUUUAUGUAGUAAUUGUCCUCUGUUGAAAGAAAUAUGUGGUGACAAUUAAAGCCAUCUUGAUAGGGCAUAGAAGGGACACUGAUCACAUGGUGCUGUUUUCCAGCUCAACUUCAAUAUUUUAGGUGAAAUAUUGCUGGACUGAAUGCAGUACCAACACAUGUACAGUCUCAAUCACCACCAAUGUAUUUUGAUAAGAUGAUGAAUUUGAAGACAGAGCCACGUGAAAUUGCAAAUGCUUCUGUCUUUAAUUAGAAUUUAUUUUUCUUCGAUCCCAUUCAAUUUCCUGCAGACCACUCACUCAAACUUUCUUGUAACAUUAUGCUGAUUGUUAGGAUUACCAGUGACCUUGUCGGCAUAUCUUCCGAACACGAGUAGGACAUUAUGCUUUAUUUUAGUUUCAAUACGUUUUCAGUUUAUGCAGUUAUUAAGAGAUGUAGCUGUAGGGUAAUGUGAUUCUUCAUUUCUGCUCAUACAUUUUUCUUGAUUAGUUGAAAAGACAAGUCCAUGUGAUUUUCCAUGAGAAAAUAACUCGCACUUGGCUCCACCACGAUCCUUCACUAAUCGUAUUUUUUUUGCUUACCUGAUGUCCUUGAAAAAUUAGAACACAUAGACGUAUGAACAUAAUUGCUUGAGCAGCUGAGUCUCUGGCCAAUCCGCAUUCAAUUGCUCUCUCCAACUUGUACACAUUAUUUUGUAGACCAACGUAUCAAUUUUUCGUACCUAUAUCCUAACCAAAGAGAUCAAGUCCUCACAUUUUAUAUGCUAAAACUGUUGAAAUAGUACCAAGGGAAAAUUUCUUGUCUCAAGCAUGUCUCUGUUUUUUUAUAGGCCGUCAACUAAGAGAGGCAGGACACUGGGUUUCUUUCAUUUGGUCAUCGACUCGUGCAGUGUUGUUGAUAACUUGUAGACAAGUCCAUGUGAUUUUCCAUGAGCAAACUCUCUCUCACUUGGGUCCAUCCCAGUGCUUCAUCACCAAUCAUUUUAGGUAACUGACUGCUUGCAGCAUACCGCUUUAGCUAUAUAUGCACACAUCAUCCAAGGUUCAGGAGCAAACGAACACAAGUCUUCUACUCCCAAGCAUAUCUUAUCAAAGCACUUUCUGUCCUGAAAUUCAUUUGAACUCUUUAUUGUUCCUUAUUAAAGAAAUUUUAAAACCAUGGUUUUCCAAUUUCCUGGUAUUGUACAUGCCAACAAAAAUCAAGUUUCUUCAAAGUCAUUGGAUGUUCCAAAAGGCUAUCUUGCCAUCUACGUUUGGGAGAGCCAAAAGAAGAGGUUUAUUAUUCCGGUGUCCUACUUGAACCAACCUCCAUUCCAAGAUUUGUUAAGCCUAUCUACUGAGUAAAAAAAAAAACUAGGGACCCAAGCCGUUUGGAAGCUACUGAGUCAAUGUCCAUGUUAUUAGAGAAGCACGAUGUCCACUAUCAGCAGCUGUAUAGAUGUAACUAAAACUGACUGACAAUAUCUCCCACCUUUAAGAUAAUUCCCAAGCUAAUUAGAUCACAGACAGGCUUAUUGAAGGUUCAACGUUUCUUUCAUUCUUCUGUUUUGUAUGGUGACUCAUAUACAUCUCCUACAUCAAGUAUCAAUAAAAAGUUGGGAGUCGUAAUUGGAUAUAUGGAAAAGAAUAUAUACUCAUACAGAAUUUCAUUGUGGAGUUGUUCGAAUGAAAAAUUCGCAAUUUCCUCUACCAAAUGACAUACUAGUCAUGCAGAGAAAACUUAGGUCUGUUGGGGGGACUAUACUUAACAUCUUAGUAUUCGUAUAACUAUAAAAAGGAUCCUAAUGGGAAACUAAAUCACAAAAGAAUCUGAAGAAAUAAAUCCAAGAUUGUACAAGUUACAUCUUUUUUCCUUCUCCCUUUGUUGAAAGAAAACAAAAUUACUACUUAUGCAUGGUUAAAUCAGACGGUUCAUCACACAACCAAGAAAUGUUUUGUUGGUCAUUAACUGAAGACAACACCAAGCAGCAGCAACACACCCGGUCAUAUAAUCUAAAGCGAUGCUUUAUAAAUUAUAAUGUAAUAAGCUAUGAAUAUUGCUACAGUCUCCAUUUAAGAAUUUAUAUAAUCCGAUUCUGAGGGAACAAUAUUUCUUCCUCGAUUGAAAAAAAUGUACAAAAUCUAGAAAUUGUUUUGUUUACAAAAUUGUAACAAUCGCACAGUUCGUGUAAUUGUUCUCCACAAUCCACCACUCUAUCAUACUGCACUCAAGCGAGAUAUAAGUUCAAGGAAAGCAUCUUGUCUGCAGGGAAUUGUUAGACCGCCCAUUGGAUAAUCAAAUCCAAAUUCUUCUUCAGCUUCACUUAGCAAGUGUUGAAAUGCAGGCUGGCAGAGGAAAGAUAUGGGAACCACAAAGCGGUGCUUCUCACUCUCACCAACAUAAACUGCAAAAUAACCUUUAGGGACAUCCGAUAAAUUAUACGAAGCUCCUUCACUUGAAUUUGAAGAAGACCGUCGAAAAAGUUUCUUAGCAGGAAUUACAGCAGGCAGACGGAACCCCAUUGUAGUAAAUCUUUGGAGGAAAGACUAGCAAUAGAGUAUAAAAACUUGAAGAAGAUCUCAAGGGACGAGCAACUGCAAAACAAUAAAGCUAUAUGCUUGAGAACUUGAAGAUUCAUAUGGUUUAUAUAAAUGAAAAGUAUUGUGGAAUAUCUUCUACUAAAGAAAAAAUAUAUGGUAAAGACAAUGGCAAUCUGGAUGGGGUAUAGAAGGGAACAAGAGCUCAUCAGUGUUCACAUGGUUCUGCCUUCAAACUAAUCAAGCAUUUUAGGCAAAAUAUGUGGAGCCUCGAUUACUACCAAGGCUUGUGAUGAAUUGGAAGACAGAGCCAUGUGAACUUUUAAAUGCUAAUAUCUAUUGCCAAUCAAUUGCCUGGAGAACACCCACACGGCCCUUCACGCCAACUACUAGAGAUUUUUUUUUCCGACACAGUCAUCGUUUAGUUGGAUAUGGAAACUUAUUGCUAUGAUAUAGUUUAACCACAAAUAAAUUUUAUUGGGUCCACAUAUAUAGUAUGUUGAACUUGCAACCUGCAAAAAAACUCCUGUUUUCUGCUUGUUUCUGAUUUUAUACUAGUCAUGUAUCUAUUCUUCCGAAAGGAUUCAAUUAUGCAAAUUUUAAUCUGUUGGCAUCGUGGUGCCUCAAUGAUUUUCCAUGAGCUAGUCUCUCUCAUGGUACCAUCGUGGUGCCUCCAGGAUCACCAAUAAGUCGUUUCAGAUAAUAUAUGGUUUACGGCGAUACACAUUUAUCUCUAUUUUUACAAUUCAACUGAAAAUUCUAGUGUUGCUCAAUUUUUUCAUUAAGAAAUUUUAAACGAAGGGCUUCCCGUUGCCGGGCACUGUUCAAUGUUCAUGCUAAGAAAUUCGAAGUUUCCUUAAAGGCCUUGGAUAUUCCUACAUGAGAAGUAUAAUGUAUUAUUAUUUUUCAUUCUGCAGGAUAUAUAUAUAUAUGUAUAUAUAUCUUAUGUUUGGGUUCUAGUGAACUCUUAUGUAUUUGUUCCUUUCUUUCCAUCACCAAUCAGUUUUGGGUGUAUCUUAGGAUUGGGGCGUGAUACCUCAACUGUGAUAAAUCAAAUGUAAUAACUAAGGAGAGAGUUGUUAGUCUAUCACCUUGUAUCCUGUGCCAUUGAUUCAAUACUUUGUAUCCAUACAAUCUCUAUUAAGAGGGGGCGUUGAGGGGGAGCGAAAGGUGUAGUCGCACAGGUCCCCAAAUUUGAAGGAGCCCUUAAAUUUUUGUCAUCUAACAUCAUGUAAUAUGUUCUAUAUUUAAAAAAAUUACUUUUAUUAGAACUUUAAACAACAUUGUGCACUCCUUAUAAGAGUUUUUUUUUUUUUCUUUCUAAACAUAUAAACUUGGAGUACAAUGAGAUUUUUUGAAUGACAAUAAUAACACCUUGAAAAGCGACAAUUUCUUAAUUUUAUAAUAUAACAACGUUGUAUAUUCAAGUGAACUUUAAAGUUAGAGAUCUAAUGUUUUUUUUAUUUUUUAUGUUUGGCUGUUUAAGAUAAAACUGUUUUUGAUUAUUUAGUGAAAGUUAUGUUUGUAGCUCUUUUUACUUAUCAUUAAGGACAUUUGUAAACAUGCAAUCAGUGAGGGCUAAAGUUUUUUUUGUUUUUUGAACAAACGAUAUUAGCUACGCUAAGAGAGUGGGGGAGUGGGCUAAACCUCACAAUAGGUUAACAAUAAUGUGGUUCAAAUUCGCCUUUGGUGAGAAUUGAACAUAAGACCUCUCACAUAUAAGUGAAGAGGAAUAUCACUAGACUGUAGUAUUAAGUGGCUUUGUUUUGAUUUAAGUGAAUGUUUUCUAGUAUCAAUACAUAGUCAUACUUUUUUAAAACUUAAAACUAUCUUAAGGAGGGCUCAUUUUACAAAUUUCGUACAGGAUCCUCAAAAUCUCAGAGACGGCCCUAGUAGUAACCUCCAUAUAGUAAGGCUUAGCUAAGUUGGCUAGCUAAAGCAAUGAGCUCCUAAACGCUUCGGUGUAAUUAGGAAUGGAACCAUGUAAUUACAAGUUGUAAAUCCCAAUGUGAAAUUUUCAACAAAAAGAUGAUACACCACAAUUCCAAAUAUUGUAAACUGAGUUGUUAUUUUCAUAGCAAAAUAGUAUUUCACUUAUAAAAAUGCUGUGAUCAUUUAUUGAAAAUUUACUGCAACUUUUAUGUACAUCAUUCAAAGAUACCGUUUUUACUCCUCAAAAAAGUUUUCACAAUUACUUCCUACAGCCAGUGUUACCAAAUCAUGUAAUUCUUCACAGACCACGGUUGACCUAGAUAGUAGUAGAUAAGAGAUGCUCGUAUUGUAAACAAACUAUUGUUUUUGAUAAAAGUUGGAAUGAAGGGAGAAAGCAGGUUCAGUAAGAGUAGCACAAAGCAUACUAACGAGAGUCUGGUCAGUCUGGUACCAGGCAAGGUACUCAGGGUUGGGAGAAGUAGUGACCACUGGUGGGAGAACCGAAGAAGCAUCAGAAUCAGCAGAAGCAGCGGGGGAGGCACCUGGAGCAGUGGUGGUGAUUACUGGACUAGGACACCAAUAUGAAGACAAAACGCCAUAAAUUUUGGCCAACUAAAAAUGGCUUCACCUGACUCUCCCAAGGAAGAUAAUUUCUUUCAGAGAGUUUGACAGAAGCCAAGAUAGAGAUAUUGAGAAUGGUGAUUGAGGAAGAAGAUGGGGUUGCGGAAGCCAUGUGAAAAAGAGAGGAUCAAAGCUCGAAUGCCAUGUGAACUUUCCGUAGUUCAUUGAUUAUUAGAACAAUAAUUAAAAAUACAAAUUAUAAUGAUAAGAUAACAACAGAGCCGAACAAUAACAUUAUCCACAUCUAUAAUCUUCAGUCACAUCAUCCUUCAGAGAGUACAUUUUGCACUCACAAAAGAAAAAUAUUUGUACAGUCUGUAGAAAAAAAUUUCUUUACAAAAAUGCAACUCAACUCAUGUAAUCACAAUGAAUUCAAAAUGGACAAAUAACAUCAAUGAAGGUAUCUUGUCUGCAGGGAAUUGUUAGACCACCAUUGGAUGAUCAGAUCCAUAUUCUUGUUAAGCCUCACUUAGCAAGUCUUGGAAUGAAGGUUGGUUGAGGUAUGAUACAGGAAUGACAAACCGCUGUCUCUUGUUCUCCCCAACAUAAACCGCUAAAUAACCUUUUGGGACAUCUGCUAUAUUAUAUGAACCUCCUCGACUUGAAUUUGAAAAAGACCGCCGAAGAAUUUUCUUUACAUGAGUUACACUUGGACGACGGAAACCCAUGGUUUUAUGUCUCUCUAGAGAAAUGUCUGGUGCAAGUUUAUAGGAGCAAGAAGAAGAGAAGAGUUGGGAAGAUGCAGAAACUUGAAUGGAUGGCAAUGAAAGUCUCAUGAAAUAUAUAUAGUUAAAGUUUUAUGUAGGAAUUAUCCUCUGUUGAAAGAAAUAUGUGGUGACAAUUAAGGCCAUCUUGAUAGGGCAUAGAAGGGACACUGAUCACAUGGUGCUGUUUUCCACCUCAACUUCAAUAUUUUAGGUGAAAUAUUUUUGGACAGAAACAGUACUUCAACAGAUACAUAGUCUGAAUCACCACCGAUGUAUUUUGACAGGAUGGUGAAUUUGAAGACAGAGCCAUGUGAACUUAGAAAUGCUUGUGUCUUUAGAUUUUUUUUUUUUUCAAUCCCAUUAAAUUUCCUGCGGAGCACUCACUCAAACAUUCUUAUAACAUUAUGUUGAUUGUUAGGAUUACCACUGAUCUAAUCGCAUAUAUACCUUCCGAACAUUAGUAGGACAUUAUGUUUUAUCUUAGUUUCAAUACGUUUUCAGUUUGUGCAGUUAUUAAGAGAUGUAGCUGUAGGGUAUUGUGAUUUUUCAUUUCUGCUCAUACAUUUUUCUUGAUUAGUUGGAAAGACAAGUCCAUGUGAUUAUCCACGAGAAAAUGAUUAUCACUUGGCUCAGCCACGGUCCUUCACCAAUUGUAUUUUUGGAAAACUAACCAAAACACCCUCAAAAGUUUCACUUUAAUCAUAAGGACAAAAUCUUUUUAUAAUACCCAAAUUGGGCAUGGGAAAGAGGACAAGGAAGAAAAACAAUUCUGAGAAAUCACAUGCAAACAAUGCAAACAUUUCUGAAAUAUCACAUGGAUGACCAAAAUAAAGGCUCCAGGAGACAAAUCAUGCAGCAAAUUCACAUGCAAAAGGAGACAAGCAAGAUCACAUUACCACACAUUACCACGUUUCAGAAACAAUGCUAACAAUUUUAGCAACAGUAGAGGCAAGUGACAAAUUACAAGUACCAAGGAGAUGUCCAUACCAUUACCAUUGUAUUCUGAUUCAGUCUAUAUAAGAAGAGUUUCAUUCAUUGUAAAUCUCACCUCCCUCAACAUCUAAAAACACCAUACUCACUUCAUAUACUCAAGCAUUCGUAGCCUUCGUAGCAUCCUUGUAAACACUUCUUUGUAAUCAUUUUCUUGUAAACAAAUAUCUUUGUAAACAUUCCAUAUAUCAAUAAAAGUUCAAGUGUACAUAUUCAAGCAAUCUCCAAGUCUUAAGUAAGUUUUCUUUUCCUUCUUUAAUGUGUUUGUUUAAUUAGACUUCUAGUCCAAAACAUGGAAACACUAUUGUGGUUAUAUUAUUAACCUGCUAAACUGAUGAUCAUACUUUGUUCGAGCACUCUGUUAUAGUUGCAUGCUUACCAUACAAAUAACUGGACAUUAACUAGGAUACCGCUGAGUUCUUCGUACCUCUGAGUUCAACCGUUAAGGCCUUAUACUUGUACUGUGAGUUGUCGUCAUGCUGAAACAUGUCGAGUUCCAUGUGCAAGGUUCUAUGUCUAGUUGUUAUAAUGGUCAUCCGACUAUUUAACCGAGCAUGCGUUGCGAAUUUGGUAUCAGAGCCUAGUUUAGCAUUUUAAUAGUAUAAUUAUAAUAAUAAAGUACCUUGAGGAUAGAAGUCAUUGAUACAACUGAUAUCAUAUUUGUUUAUUGUGUAUGAACAACAGAUAUUAUUGUCCCUGUAGACCCUGUCAACCAUAAUUACCAGGUAUUUAUUGUCCCAAACAUCCAACUAUAACUAGCAUAAAGAGAAGAUUAGCAUAUAUAUCCAAAAGAAUUAUCAGUACUUUGAAGAAGCAAAAGUUUUAUCUUGGCUAUUUUGAACAUCCUUUAUUUAUUCGUAAAUAUAAUAACACAUAAAUGCAGCAUAAAGUUUUAGAAGCAAAAAGAACAACAGAUCAAGUUUUAGAGACAUUGAGAGAAGAAAGAGAGUUUUAAAGAAACCAGUUAGCCUUAACUCUAGAGAAAUGUAGACUAUAGUUUAUGAUAGAUUAUCUUAAUUUAGAAAUUAGUGAACCUUAAAAAAGAAAAAUAACUUUAGACCAAAAUAGUUUAGUUUGCUAUUUUCCAUUGAGAAAGCACAAUCAUAUUUUGCAUAGUGAAGAAAAUCCGCAAGCCAAUAGUAUUGUAGACUUAUUAUUAGUCAAGCAGAAAAUAUAAAAUUAGAAAAUAAUAGGCAUAAUCUUUUGUUAAACCAGUUGUUAGAGCAUUUUCAGAAAAAUUCCAUAAAAAUAAUUAGAAAAAAUUUAGAUUAUAUUACAUCUCAGUUAGAAGAUAAUAAUAAAAAUAUUCAAAGGUUUCCUAGCAAAAGAAAGGUAAAAGAGCUUGUUGAUCUUAUAAAUAGUAAGCCGAAGCAAGUAGAACUUAGAUCAUUAGAAAUAGUUGAGCAGCUAAAAUUAGAAGUUCAAAAAAUUCAAUUAGUACAAAAAGAGUUAAGUGAACAAGUAGAUAAGUUGCAUAAUAAAAUAGAUAAAUUAUUAGUUUAAUGAUAGAUUUUAGAACUAGCAGAAAAUAUAUUCAAGCUUUGAAAGAAAUUAGUAAGUUAGAUAAAGAGCCAGUAGGUUUAACAGAUUUUUCAACACAAGUAUCCAGUAGUAAUAUUCCCAUUAGGCAAAAUAAUUUGAUUAUUCAAUUAGUUUUAAGUUUGGCUGAAAAAUUAGAUCAAGUUGAAGAAUAAAUAGCAGAAAUAAACCAAGUUUUACAUAACGCAUCUUCAUCACUUCCACCAUCCUUGCUAGAUAAAUUAGAAAAUGUAACUUUGAGUGCAAAUAAUAAAAGUCCUAAGCUAAAUCCUUUUGAUAAUAGAAAAUGGAACUCUUUAGGAAAAAAGGAAAAGAAGUAGUAAGAGCGGAAGAUAUUUAUCCAAAUGAAGAAGAAGCACAAGAAUUUAUUCGAAGAGGUUAUGAGAGAACACAGAAAAAUAAGUAUAACUUGUAUCAAUUAGGUUUAUUUGAAAACAGAAGUAGAAUUGUAAGCAGCAUCAGUCAACAUGAAGUUAGCUGUAUUGAUAAAGAAGUCACACUUAAUCUGAUUAGUAAAGAAGCAGUUACUCAUUUGAGAAAAUCACAUUUUAGUCAGAUUCAUAUAGGAACAAUAUUAAUUGGAAUAGCAGGAUUAACCAGAGCACAAGUAGGUACAAAAGCUUUAGUAUACAUAGAUGAUGAUAGAUGAGAUAAUCACCAACAAGCAACAAUAGCAACAGCUGAAGUAGACUUAAGUUCAAACUUAGCAGUCAUAGGUUGUAUUCCAAAUUAUGUUAUGAUGAUUAAUGAAUUUAGUAAAUAUAUUAAAGUGAGCAUAAGAACAAAAAAAUAUAAUAUGAAAGGAGAGUAUAAAAAUUUGUGUAUUAGCUUAAUGUAUAGGUAAAGUGUCUGAUAGAUAUAAUCAUAAGUUUAAUUUAGAGUUUCAAAAUUUAGUCCAAAUAUUUGGCAGUAAACAUGUAAAUAUGAUAGAAGCAAAACUCGUAGAUAAUAGUUUUUUAGAAGGAACUCAGUGGACAUUGCUUAAUUUACAAGUAGCACAAAAUAGACAACCAGAUAAAGUACAAAUAUAUGAAACUAGUACCGGUCAAGCAACAAUUACGUUUAGUAAUUAUAAGCAACUAGAAAAAAAUAGAAGAGGAUGAGAGUGAAAUCGAAAAUGAGAGUAUACAUAUGGCUUUUGAUAAUUUAGAUAUUAAUUUAGUUGAACAAAAUUUUGAUCAUAUUGUAGAUAAACUAAUAGAAUAUAUUGAUCAUUUAGAUGAAGAACAAUAUUUGAAAAAAUAUAAGACAUAUGAUUUAGGACUACAUAAAAUUUCAGACGAGGAAAUGAAAAAUUUAAUCUUAGAAAUGGGAGUAGAACACAUUAUAGGAUCAAAAGAAUAUAAUAAUUUAUUAGAAUUGAAAGCAGAAUGUAAUCCAACAGAAGAAAGUAGUACAUCAGGAGUAGAAAAUCCAGGACACGCAAGUAGAACUGAUCAACAAUUUUUGAGACCAACAAAUGAACAAUAUAAUGAAAAAGAAAAAGUAGACUAUAUGGAAAAAAGUAUGAUAAAACCUAGAAAAAAAUAGGAUUCCAUAUUUGAGAGGAUUAGAACAAAUUAAUAUAGCUGGUAAUAUAUUAAAUUUAGAUAAUGUAGAUCCACAAGAUUGGGAAAUAACGAUUGAGAGAUGGGAAAAAGGCUGCGUACAUGCAGCAUUAAUGUUAGAUUUUAGUAAUUCACAAAAUAUGUUAGAUUACUUUAAGCAUACUUUGGAUGGUUUAGUUUUUUAUUAUUUCCAGUCAUGGAAAGUUCAAAAUCCAGAACAGCAUCAGACGGCUAAAACACAUUUUAAUAUUGAUGGUUUUGUUACUUUGAUUAAACAAGAGUUUUUAGAUCAUAAUAGGUUAGAUGGCAGAAGCGAACAAGAACAAAUAAGAGCAAUUAGAAAUUUAGAACAAUUACAAAUUUGCGAUUUACAGUAUAUAGCUGAGUAUACCACAGAUUUCUUUAAAUAUUUAGGAAGAACAGGUAGAAUUAGUGAUAUUAAUUUAUUAGAUACUUAUAUGACAAAAAUAAAAGGACCAAUAGGUGAAAAGAUUUGGAAUGAAUGGCAAAAGCAUCCAAAGAAAAAUGAUAUUGCUAUAAGACCUAGAAUUCAACAUGUAUAUGAUAUACUCAGACAAGAGUGUAGUCAAAUAAAAGCUAAGAGACAAAUUAGGAAACAAUUUUACAUGUGUUGUAAAAAUAUAGAUUUACCACAACAGUAUAGUUGCCAUAAGAAAAAGCAUAAGAAAAUAUACAAAAAGAAAUAUAAGUCGUAUAAACCCUACAAACAGCAUAAGAAUUUCAGCAUAAGACCUCAAGAACAUAUAGGAAAAGAAAAUAUAUUCCAAAACAAUUUAGAAAAAGAAGUGGCAGACCUUGGAAUAGAAAAUAUAAAGCACCAAAAGAUAAGAGUAAUUGUAAAUGUUAUUCAUGUAGAGAAGCUGGACAUAUUAGACCUAAAUGUCCAAAAUUAGGUAAACAGUCGAAAGAAAAAGUACAUUUGAUAGAGUUGUUUAAGUUAGAAGAAGAUGAAGAUAUUCAGUUAAUAUACAGUUUAGAUAAUUUAAGUGAUAAUGAGAGUAUUUAUAGUAUAGAGAGUAUGAACAUGAUAGAUUCAGACUCAGAAGAUUCAAGUAGCACAAAUAGUGAUCUAGAAGAGUAUAUGUGUGCAUUCAUAGAAGAACAGCAUGAAGACGAAUAUAAAUACAUAAAUUUAGGUUGGCCAGAAAAUUGUCAUAAGUAUAGUAAAUUAGUUGCAAAUAAAUACUAUAAUACAUAUUCAAUAUUAUUUGAAAAAUGUUAUAAUAAUAGGUUAUUAGAAGUUAAUUCAGCAGAAUCACAAGAAAAUAAUGAAAUAUUAGGAAAUAUUGUUCAUACUAUAGAAAAACAAAAAAAUAGUUCUUUAAUUACCUUAAAUUGUGAAAUAGAAUUAGCAAAAGAAGAUAAGAUACAAACGAUAGCUAUGAUAGAUACACGGAAUACAAGGAGUGUCAUAAGAAAAGAGUUAGUACCAGAAAAAUAUAGACAAAAAUUAGCAAAACCAGUAAAAAUAACACAAUUUGAUGAGAGACCAGUUUACUUAAUACAUUGUAUAAAUAAUGAGUUUAUUAAAGUAGAAAAACAACAAUUUAAUUUACCUUUAACAUUUGUUUCACCAUUAGGAUCAUAUCCAUUUAUUUUAGGUUUAAACUUUUUGAAAAGUUUGCAAGGUUUUUUAUUUAUGAACCCUAACAUAACGUUUUUCAAAAAAGGCAUUACAAUAACUGACCAAAGUAAUACUAUAAAAGCAUACAAAAACAUAAGUAUAGAAGAGCCUAGUGGCCAAGAUAGUUAUCAUUUAGAAAACUCAAAAUAAAAUGAUAAGCAUAAUAACGUAGAAGAGUUUGAUGAAGAUAUAUUUGAACAUGAAUACCCGAUUUUAGAAAAAGGAACCUGUAUAGAAAUAUUACAGUUAGAUAGACGAAAGAGUUUAGAAGAAUUGUUACAAUUAGCAGAACAAACUAGGAUUAUAGGAGAAGACCCACCGUUACAUUGGAGUAAAAAUAAAAUACUAGCAAAAUUAGAUAUAAUUAACCCAUAGUUAACCAUUAAGACGGCUGAUAUGCCUUGUAGUCUAAUAGAUAAACAAGAUUUUAAGCAGCAAAUAAAAGAGUUGUUAAAUUUAAAAGUAAUUAGACCCUCUAAGUCUAGACAUAGAUCAGAAGCAUUUAUUGUAAGAAAACAUUCAGAACUAAAGAGAGGUAAGGCUAGGAUAGUUUAUAAUUACAAGAGAUUAAAUGAAAAUACAUACGAAGGUAGUUAUAAAUUACCAAAGAAGGAUGAGCUUAUAAAUAAAAUUCAAGAGAGUAUAUAUUUUAGCAAAUUUGAUUGUAAAUUAGGCUUUUAGCAAAUAAGAUUAGCAGAAGAAUCAAUUGAGUGGACAGCUUUUACUUGUCCAAAAGGACAUUUUGAGUGACUUGUUAUGCCAUUUGGACUUAAAAAUGCUCCAUCAAUCUUUCAAGGAAAGAUGGACCAAAUUUUCAAGAAAUAUGAUACUUUUUGUAGUGUUUAUGUAGAUGAUAUUUUAGUACAUACUAAAAAUAAAAUGAACAUAGGAAGCAUUUAGAGAUAGUAUUACAAGAAUUUAUCAAUAAUGGAAUUGUGAUUAGCAAAAAUAAAAUAGCACUAGAAAAGCAAGAUAUAGAAUUUUUAGGAAUGUAAAUUAAGUCGGGUACAAUACAAUUACAAGAUCAUAUAGCUAAAAAGGUAUUAGAAUUUCCAGACAAAUUGGAAGAUAAGAAACAGUUAAAUGCAUUUUUAGGAUCGCUAAAUUAUGCAAGAAAUUUUAUCCCUGAUUUAUGAAGAAAAAUAACAGUAUUACAUAGUAAAACUAGCAAAACAGGACAAAAGUAUUUUAAUAGUGAAGAUAUUAAAUUAAUUCAAAAAAUAAAAGAAGAAAUUACUAAACUUAAGCCAUUAAUAUUACCAUUAGAUGAUAGUUACAAAAUAGUUGAAACAGAUGCUUCAUCAUUAAUAUUACCAAAGUCUGACGAACAAGUUUGUAGAUAUUCCUCAGGAAAGUUUAGUGAUGUACAGUCAAGAUUACCAUCAACAGAUUUAGAAAUUUUAGGGAUAAUUAAUUCACUUGAAGCAUUUUCUUUAUUUUUACAUAAUGAAGUAUUUACGAUUAUAAUAGAUUGUCAAAAUAUAGUUUCUCAUUAUAAUAAGAUACAUGCUAAUAAAUAGGCAGCCUGAAGAUGGGUUAAUUGUAUUGAUUCAAUUACAAGAAAUGGUUUUAAACCAAUUUUUGAACAUAUAAAAGGUAAUGACAAUACAUUAGCUGAUAUCUUAUCAAGAUUAAUUUGUUGAACAGGUAUGGAAUAUCGUGGACCAUCAUCAGCAAAUAGCACAAAAUUGCAAGGCAGAAGAGUUUCUUUCAAUGGCAUGAUGAUGCACCAUCAACCUCCACCAUUCAGUGGAUUUCAAAAUAGCAUGAGCAGACCAGCAUCACCACCAGUACCUACGUUCAACUUUAAUGGCAGUAUUGUUGAAGGAAUCAAAAAUCCAACUCUGAGAUAUAGGUCAAGGGUACCAGGGCUUUCUGAUAGGCAACAGGUUCUCUUAGAUAAUUGUUGGAAUAUCCAAAUUAAGCAAUCAAGCAUGAGGUUUGGUCAUGAAAAAAUAAUUAGAGCCUUGGAACAAGAGUUUGAUAGCCUUAAUUUUAAUUUCCACCAAAACCAUCAACAUAUUCAUUCUCUUGAGCACAACCUUCAAGUCAUCUCUAGGGACCAUGAGUCAUUACUUGGCAAUUUUACCAAAAUGAACCAAGAACUACAAUCUCCUAGAAUGCAGCAAAAGGCAAGUGACACCUUGAAAAGAGAAAUGAAAAUAGGUCUAGAAAUUGAUCAGCAUAAGAAUAAAGGAAAAAAUGUUAUUGAACCCAUAGAACAAGAGGCUAAUGAGCCCAUAGAAGAAAUUAAAAUUGAGCUCUUAGAAGGAGACGUUGAAAUGGAGCAACAUCAAAGUAAUGAUCAGCAUCAGAUUCUGAGUGACAAAGAAAAACAAGAAAAAUAUGAAAGUUUUCGUAGGAAUAUAUCUUCAGACUUAAUAUUAGAUGAUGUUUUAUUAGAAGAAAUUUCAAAGGCAAAACUAAUAAUAAUGCCAACAGAUAUGCAAAAUCAGAUCCUGAGCAGAACAUCACAGUCCAUGAAAGAGUUACAAUUACAAUUACAAUUCGCCUUGUAUCAAUCCAUCUUUGAUCCAAAACCAGGGAUAGAUAUUACAAAGAUGUAUCCUCCAUGUCUUUGUGAUAGUACAGAGAAUUGUAUUUGUAAACCAGAGGUUAGCGUAGCUAUGGCUAGGAUGAACAUGAGAGAUUUUAAAUCAUGGCAUUUUAGUUAUGAGCAUAAGAAAAAGCAUAAUGUGGUAGAAGUUACCCCUGCCUUACUAUUAGAGUUUGGUUAUCUCGAUAAAAUAUUUAUUAACCGUAUUUCUCAACUAGAAUCAUUUCCUGAAAAGCUUAUAAAAGUAGCAGAAGAUUAUCUAGAAAGGUGGAAAGAAAUUUGCAUAAGUUUUAUUAGUAGUCCUCCGGAUUGGUAUGUACAUAUGCAUAAGGAGAAAACUAGGUAUAUAGCCACGAUCAAUGAAGAGUCCUUUAGACUAACCCCUAUCUCCUCACAUAGGUGGACUCCUUCAUACAAAGAUAUUUUAAAAUUUAGAGGGAUCCAAAUGUUUGUCUUAGAUGAGUUUGAAGAUUUUAGGUAUGACAUGGUACUAGUAGCAGAAGAACAAGAGAUGUAUAUUUACAUCAAGACAAUGAUCAGUCAUCAGCCUUAUUGGAAGCCCCAAAAUUUCAAAGAAGAAACAGCAGAAAUAUACUAUAAGGUGAAAGAAGAUAGAGAAAGAGAAACGGAGAUAGUAGAAGGCGAUGAACAGUACUGGAAUAAUUUGACAGAAGAAGAGCUGCAUAACAUGACAACAUGAUGGAAGCCUGAAGAGCUAGCUGUAAAUUAGCAUAAGUUUAAUAGCAUAAUGUAAAAUAAUGUAUUCCCAGACAGAAAUGUCAACAUCAUUGUGGACCCUGCUGUAAUGGCAUAAGAGUAAAUUAAGAAAAGAACAUGAUCCAUUAUGGACUUUUCAUACAUAAAAUGUCAUUUUGAUUAAGAAUGAAUAGUUCCAGGCCCUUUUCAUUAGAACUCCCUUGUAUUUUUGUGCAUAACCCAUAUCCUUGAAAAAUUGGAAGUCAUAGCCAUGUGAACAUAUUAGUGCUUGAGUAGCAGGGUCACUUGACAAUCCGCAUUCAAUUGCCUCCAGGCCACUCCCUCCAACUUGUACAAAUUAUUUGUAGACCAACGUAUCAAUUUUUCGUACGUAUUGUAACCAAAACAGAUUAAGCCCUCACAUUUUAUAUGCUAAAACUGUUGAAAUAGCACCACGAGAAAAAUUCUUGUCUCAAGCAUGUCUCUGAUUUUUUUUUAUAGGCCUUCAUUUAAGAGAGAUAGGACAUUGGGUUGCUUUUGUUUGGUCAUCGACGUGAGGUGUUAUUGAUAGCUUGUAGACAAGUCCAUGUGAUUUUCCAUGAGCAAACUCUCUCUCACUUGGGUCUAUUCCAGUGCUUCAUCACCAAUCAUUUUAGGUAACCGACCACUUGCAGAUACCGCUUUAGCUAUGUAUGCACACAUCCAAGGUUCAGGAGCAAACUAACACAAGUCUUCUACUCCCAAGCAUAUCUUAUCAAAGCACUUUCUGUCCUGAAAUUCAUUUGAACUCUUUAUUGUUCCUUUUUACAGGAAUUGUAAACCAUGGGUUUCCGAUUUCAUGGUAUUGUACAUGCCAAGAAAAAUCAAGUUUCUUCAAAGUCAUUGGAUGUUCCAUAAGGCUAUCUUACCAUCUACGUUGGGGAGAGCCACAAGAAGCAGUUUAUUAUUCCGGUGUCCUACUUGAACCAACCUUCACUCCAAGAUUUGUUAAGCUUAGCUAAAGAUGAAUUUGGAAACGAUCAUUGAAUGGGUGGUAUCAUAAUCCCUUGUAGUGCAGACACCUUUCUUAGUCCCACCUCAGCUUUGGGGUAUAUGUAGAGCCUGUUAAUGUUUAAGCGUUUUUAGCAGAAAUAGGCUUAUUCAUUUUACUUGUUUUAAUCAUAGCCGUUGGAUCAUAUUCCAAAUGGAUGCUCUAGAUUAUGUUAGAGUAAGUGAGAGUGUGUGACACAUGUAACUAUCUCAUAGGAUAAAUGACAUGGAUGACUGUGAUCUUUCGUUUCUAUUAUAAGAGAUAGAGGCUUUAUUCCAUUCUGGUUGUAAUGAUUAUAUUCCACUUGUACUUAUAGAGAGAGAGCCGUAAAUUAAUGAAUUCAGUUUUACACUCAUCUCUAUGAUUUUCGCUUCCUGCAACUUCCAUUUUCUUCUUUCUUCCAGAAAUAACAUACACACUCCAUUGAAUUACAACACAAAAUCACAUAACCUAACAUGGCCUCAGAGCUAGGUUGUGUCAUCUGUAACUGGGCAUGAAUCUGUGACUCCAGCAGUGAAGAACUCGAACUGAUCGUCGAGCUUUGUUGUUUAAGGAUAUUCAGAGAAGAAAUCUUAGUGACCUUGAAUCGAGUCUCAUAUGGUUGGAUUAAGUGGUGCUGAGCUUCGAGCACCAGUGUUCAAUGGAGACAACUUUGAUUUCUGGUAGAUUAUAAUGAAGACGAUAUUCUGAUUUCACGAACUUUGGGAUCUAGUAGAGAAGGGCUUCGCUACCCCGAUGAAGAAUGAGGAAGAACUCACUGAAACGGAGGGGAAGCUAUUGAAGGAGAACAUCGUCAAAGAUGCAAAGGCACUUAGAAUCAUCCAAUGGUCGAUUUUUGAUCAAAUCAUCCCGAGAAUUGCCAUCCAAGAGACUGCAAAUGCUGCUUGGAAUGUCUUGAAGCGAGAAUUUGUGGGAGAUAAACAUGUAAGAGCUGUGAAACUCCAAGGCUUACGCUGUGAUUUUGAGUAUACUAGAAUGGGUAAGAAUGAAGCCCUCUCUGCAUAUCUAGUGAGACUGUUUGAUUUGAUUAGUCAAAUGAGGAGAUAUGGUGAAGAUAUUAGUAAUCAAAGAAUUGUUCAAAAAUUGCUGAUAAGUUUACGUAGAUCUUAUGAUAGUAUAGCUUCUAUGAUUGAAAAUACUAAAGAUCUAGAGACUAUUGAUGCUCAAGAUGUUGUGGCUAUCCUAAAGGGGUAUGAACAAAGGAUUGAUAGACAUGCUGAAAUCCAAAUUGAGAAGGCAUUUGCCAGCCUUCAUGUUGAUCCAAAACAAUAUAAGUAUAAUGGGAAUCAAGGGUUCAAGCCACGGAAAAAUUGGAAGUCAAAAUGAAAGAAAGGAUAUAAUAGACGUGCAAAUCAAGCUGGAAAAGAUGCAAACACAUAUGAGGUAGCUAAGAAUUCAUGUAUACACUUUGAUAAGUUGCACUUUGGUGAAUGUUGGUUCAAAGAUAAGCCUAGAUGUCAUAAUUGCAAUAAGUUGGGGCAUAUGGCAAAAGAUUGUCGUGGCAAGAAGGAAAAGGCUAACCAACAUGUAAGCUUUGUUAACCAAGUCAAUGACACCCCUACAAUGUUCUAUGCUUGCAACAAUGCCAUUGUGAAGAAAUGUGAAGACAUAUGAUAUGUAGAUAGUGGAUGCAGCAACCACAUGACUGGAAUGGGGGAUCUGUUAGUUGACAUUAACAGAAUAAUGACUGCUAAAGUUGAAAUGGGCACAUAUCAGCUUAUUGAUGUCACAUGCAAGGGAAACGUGGUAAUUGAAACCAAUAUGGGGAGGAGAUAUAUCAAGGAGGUAAUGUUAGUUCCAGGAUUGAAAGAAAACUUGCUCAGUGUAGGGCAAAUGAUGGAACAUGGCUAUUUUCUGGUGUUUGGUGGUACAAAUGCUGAGAUAUACGAUGAUUGCUCUCUGUCAAACUUGUUAGCCAAGAUACCAAUGAAAGGAAAUAAGAGUUUUCCCUUGAAACUUCAACUUAAGAUGCAAAUUGCUCUAAAAGAUAGUGUGUGUCAGUCAUCCAUGAUUUGGCAUAGGAGGUUAGGACACUUGAAUAUGGGCAGUCUGAGGCAACUCAAAGAACAAGAUAUGAUGCUGGAUUGCCUGAACUCAAAGUGACAUAUGAGAUAUGUGAAGGAUGUACUUUUGGGAAGCAUUGCAGGGAUGCAUUUCCAAAAAAACCAUCAUGGAGGGCAUCUCUCCCUCUAGAACUUGUUCACUCAGACAUCUGUGGACCUAUGCAAACUCCUACAAAGGCUAGUAAUAGGUACUUUCUUACCCUUAUAUAUUUUUGCACUAGGAUGUGUUGGGUCUAUUUCUUGAGAUACAAGUCUGAAGUGUUUGGUAUACUCAAGAAGUUUAAGCCCAUAAUUGAGCUACAAAGUGGAUAACAAUUAAAAAAGUUGAGAAGUAAUAGAGGAAGGUAGUACACAUUUUUUGAAUUCAGUGACUUUUGUGAAGAGAUGGCAUGGAAAGGCAACUUAUAGUUACUUAUACACCGCAUCAAAAUGGUAUAGCUGAGAGGAAGAACAGAACCAUAGUAGAAAUGGAAAAAUGCAUGCUGAUUGAAAAGGCUGUUCCAUUUGAGUUUUGGGCUGAAGCUGUCAACACAGCAAUGUAUAUCUUUAAUAAGUGUCCCACUAAAUCUUUUGACAAAAAGGCUCAUUUUGAGGCUUAUAGUGGAAGAAAGCUAAGAAUCAAGCACUUAAGGGUUUUUUGUUCUAUAUGUUAUGCUCAUAUUCCAAGUCAUCUCAGACAGAAGCUAGAUGAAACCAGUGUUAAAUGUAUUUUCUUGGGGUAUGGCACAUGUGAGAAAGGUUAUAGACUUUAUGACCUUGAUUCAAAAAAGAUGAUUGUGCCAAGAAAUGUGAUAUUUGAUGAAAAUGCUUGUUGGGAUUGGAAGUGUCAAUCUGAGAAGAGUAUUAGUGUACCAAUAACUGGUGUGGAAACCUGUAAACAAAGGGAAGAAGGAAGCUCAAGUGAUAGAUGUAAUGUAAAUGAUGAGUCUCUGAUACCUGCAUCUGAAACUUGUGAAUCAAUUGAAAAUGGUUCAAGAUUUGUCCCAAUGCAGAAUAACACAGGUCCCUAAGACUAUGAGCAUACCUCAUUGAAGUUCAGAGCUUGACAGAAGUGUAUGCAAAGUGUAAUUUAUGCAUAGUUGAGCUUAAGAGCUUUGAAGAAGCAGCCAAAGAUGAGUCAUGGUAGAAAGCAAUGGAAGCAGAAAUUGCUAUAAUAGAGAAGAACUGCAUUUGGGAACUUGUUGACAGACCAUUUAAUAAACCAAUAGUUGGUGUCAAGUGGAUCUACAAAACAAAAUUGAACAUGGAUGGGUCUAUACAGAAGAAUAAGGCAAGAUUAGUUGCAAAGGGGUACUCUCAAAAGCUUGGGGUUGAUUUCAAUGAGACAUUUGCCCAUAUGGCAAGGCUUGACACCAUUAGAACUCUAAUUAGACUAGCUACACGAAAUGAUGGAAGUUGUUCUAACUCAAUGUGAAAUUUGAACUCUUGAAUGGGGUUCUAAAUGAAGAAGUGUAUGUAGAUCAGCCACAUGGAUUUGUAAUUGUAGGUAAAGAGGACAAGGUUUACAAGUUCAAGAAGGCCUUAUAUGGUUUAAAACAGGCACCAAAGGGCUGGUAUAAAGAAAUUGACUCUUAUUUCUAUAAUGCUGGCUUUCAUAAAAGUCUAAGUGAGGUAACCCUUUACAUCAAAACAACUGAGGUAGGAAUUCUCAUUGUUUCCUUGUAUGUUGAUGACAUUAUAUACACAGGGAGUUCUAGUGCAUUGAUGGAUAAAUUUAAGGCAUAAAUGAUGAGAAAGUAUGAGAUGUCGGAUUUAGGUCUGUUGCAUCACUUCUUAGGGCUUGGAGUAAUUCAAACAGAAGACUGCAUCUUUCUGAAUCAAAAGAAAUAUGCAAGAACCUUGCUGGAGAAGUUUGGAUUGAAGGAUUGCAAGUAUGUUGCAAUUCCACUUGUAGCAGAUGAAAAGUUAAGCAAAGUUGAUGCAAGUGAGAUGGCUGAUGAAAGUCUUUAUAGGAAGAUGGUUGGUAGUCUGUUAUACUUAAUAGCUACAAGACCUGAUAUAAUGUUUGCUGCAAGUUUCCUAGCUCAAUUCAUGCACAAUCCAACCAGAAAGCACAUGGGAACCACAAAGAGGGUGUUGAGAUAUAUACAAGGAACACUGGACUAUGGAAUUGCAUAUGAGAAAGGCAAAGAUGAUGUGCUUAUUGGCUAUUAUGAUAGUGACUGGAGGAAGUGAAUAUGACAUGAAGAGCACCUCGGGUUAUGCUUUCAGUUUUGGUUUUGGAGCAUUUUCUUAGGCCUCAAUCAAACAAAGUAGUGUAGCACUGUCCACUGCAAAGGUUGAGUAUGUUAGUGUUAUAGAAGCAACUGCCCAUGCCAUCUGGUUAAGGUUUGUUCUCUUAGAUUUUGGUGAGGAACAAGUGGAGCCAACUCAGAUUCUACGUGAUAACACCUCUGCCAUUGCAAUUUCAAAGAAUCUAGUGGCACAUCACAAGACAAGGCAUAUCAACAGAAGGUUUCAUUUCAUCAAAUAUGCAUUGCAGAAUGGUGAAGUUGAUCUAGUUUAUUGCAAAACUGAAGAGCAAAUAGCUGAUAUAUUCACAAAGGCCUUGGCAAGAGAUCGAAUGGAGUGGUUGAGGAAAGCUUUGGGGAUGAUUUCUGCUAAACACUUAGAAUGGAGUGUUAGUGUUUAAGUAUUUUUAGCAGAAAUAUGCUUAUUCAUUUUACUUGUUUUGAUCAGAGCCCUUGGAUCAUAUUCCAAAUGGAUGCUCUAGAUUAAAUUAGAGUAAGUGAGAGUGUGUGACACAUGUAACUAUUUCAUAGGAUAGAUGACAUGGAUGGCUGUGAUCAUUCCUUUCUGUUAGAAGAGAGAGAGGCUUUAUUCCUUUCUGGUUGUAACAGUCAUAUUCCACUUGCACUUGUAGAGAGAGAGUCGUGAAUCAAUGAAUUUAGUUUUGCACUCAUCUCUAUGAUUUUUGCUUCUUGCAACUUCCAUUUUCUUUUUUCUUCCAGACAUAACAUACACACUUGAUGAGUAGAUUUUAUAUUAUAUAUUUUACCUUAAUCUUAGUAUAUUUUGGUUAAUAUUUUGGAAGAAUUUUGAUACUUUGAAUUGUAUUUUCAAUAUAGGACUUUCGACUUCCUCUGGAGCAAAACAGAACCAAAUGGAUGAAUUUUGGAGUAAUUCUAGUUGGAGGACGUUCGUGAGUCACUUAGCUUGAUCAUAUCAAAAUUUGAGAUUUUUCCACCAAGUGGUUAUUUUCUGGCGAUAAAAUAAAGGAGCGAUGCGCAGUGUUGGAAAAUGACGUUUUUGGGCUCAAAUUACGUUUUUGUAGCCCAAGAUGACCUCGGAUGGGUUCGUGGCCUUCUGGAGAAGUGUUCAGAAUAUUCCAAACAUUAAAUCCAUCUUUAUUGGGCCAGUUUUGGAGCAGCUUAUGGGUCAAAAACUUGGCUGUUCAGAUUUUAGGCGAAUUUUACCAUUUAAUUUAGGGUUAUGUUUCUUAUUUUAUUUGAUUAUUAAUUUUAGUUUCCUGAGCGAAAUAAAGGACCUGUUUUUUUAGGGUUUUGUGGGGAGGCUUAGCAGAUAUUGCUUGGCCGUCUACAGUUUUUCUCGACACUUUAUUUUAUGCAAUUUUGGAGACAGAGAGAAUUGUUAGGGUUUUGGAGACUUUUUACUUGGAGGUGCUUUCAAUCCUUUUCUUAGUAAUAUUUUCUAUGAUUUCAAUUAUGAAUAUGCGUAACUAAUUCUCUUUUGCUAGGGCGAAGCCUUGAGCCUUAGCAUGAAUAUGUGAUUUUUAUUUAAUUGCUUAUGAUUGAUUGCAUGUAUACUUUGAAUUGUUAAUCACCGGGAUAAAAACUAUCUAAUUGUCUUAAUGCCUGAUCACCAUUAGGAUCUUUAGAAAAGUAAUUUGAUGCAAUUUUGGUCGGAAGGUUCCCUGAAAUUGACGCUGGCUUCUUGUGAUUAAUAAUUGUAAUUUCACUUAGGAUGAAUAUCACGUCUUAAGGAUUGCAUGGUUUUUCAAAGGAUUUUCAUAAAGCAUAAUGAGUCUUUCAUGUUCAGAUUUGAACCGAACGUCCGUACGGGUUGCAUGUUAGAUAUACGUUCUAUGUUGGAGGUUCCAAGUAGAAUAUGAAUUAGGAAAAGCUAACCUUCAAAGUGGCAUGUGUAGAUCAUAAGUAAUUGGUAAAAAUUCAUAGGAUUGCUAGGUGAUGGUGGAACCCUAGUGCUUUCUUAAUUUGAUUCUCCCAAAACUGUUUUAUUUUCUCACGAGCUCUAAUAUUGCAGAUUGUUUAUUUUAAUUCAUUAAUUUCGUUUUUAUUUUAAUUAGGUUAUAAAAUCAAUCACCUAAACUUCUACUUUACAAUAAUUAAUUGAAAUUUGAUUUGUUUCGAAUUAUUUAAUAAUCCCUGUGGAGACGACUUUGCGAGAUUCGUUUAUACUACAAUAACCUUGUGAUUCUUGCAAGUAAAAUAGGAGAUUUAAGCCCGUUCACAUGAGUAGUAAAAAUCCUAUCAAGAAAAUGGCGCCGUUGCCGGGGAUUAUUUAAAAUAAUUCCUACUAAUCAGAUUUUCAAUUAGUUAUUGUUGUAUAUACAUAUAAGAAAAAAAAAAUUUAAUUUUCGUUUUUGUUUUAUUUUUCUCAGAUUACAACAACUCUUAGUUAAUUAUUUUUGUAUAUAUCUUUUUAUUUAAUUGCUGAUUUUGUUUGGUAGGUUACAAUUUGUUUCUUUUUUAGCAGUGCAACAAUGGAAUUUGCAGUUCCCCCUGAAUUCAAUCUAACACCCGGUGGACCACCUCUUUGGGUGUCAUUAGCAGAAAAGGGUUAUUAUGGAUUUAAGCCUACAGUUUGUGCUAUUUGUAAUUCAAAUACUCAUGAUAUUUUGCAAUGUCCUGAGAGAGAAUAUUUUCCAGAUUAUGUCCAGGAGUAUAUAAAUAUGAGAAACGAUUCAAAAUGGAACUGGAACAAUCCCCAUUCAGAGUUCUACACUCAAAGUUUGAAAGAGCAUCUUGGGCAGUAUUUUGAGCAGCUUAAUGUGCCACAAGAGCUUUCAGUGGAGGACAAGCUCUCUAAAUUGUUGGAAUUAACUGACUUAUACAUUGAAAUAACCAAUGACGGAUUUUUGAUUCAAGCAUUAAAUUAUGGGAAGAGCUUUAAUGAUUAAGAAAAGAUUGGUGCAGGAAUUGAAGAGCAAUUUUCCACCUAGUCAUGCCCAAGGGAGGAAACACCACCUGCUGAUCGUGAAACAAUUUCCCCAUAAUCUUUUCCUCCCCAAGUUUAUGUGCCACCAGAACCCUUCCCAACAGGGCUGCACGAAUGCACAAGAAUUGAUAUGUUAGAAGCUGUUCAUUCAAAAUCAGUACAUCAGACAUCACAUGAUCAACUUUUGACUACUCUGACCAUUUUGGAUUUGGAGCAACAGGCUACUGAUCAAAAAAUUUUGGUUGCUGAAUUGGACAUGCAAACGUCGCAAUUCAUCAAAUUUAAAGAAAAUAAGGAUCAAUUCCAUGACAACCAAAUUCCUCGUAGAGAAAUUUUGCCAGUGCAGAGGUUGUGGGUGUUAAAUACAAGGUUCAAGGUAGCUCGAUGGAAACAUAAACCUCACUGGAAACAACCUUAUUUGAUCACAAAGAUUCAUUCACAUAGAAGUGCACUUAUGAAGAAUUCAACCACUGAUAAACAACAACUCAUUCCAUACCUACUGUUGCCGUAUGAUGCUAUCAAGAAGUGGUUAACUUGAAGGGAACAAGUGACGUGAUCUUCAAUUCUUCCCUCUACGUCUAGCUAUAGACGUUAACUAAAGCGCUAAUUGGGAGGCAACCCAAUUUUUCUAACUCUUUUCUUUUUAUUUCGUUUAUUUUAUUUUCCUGUUUUUAUUCCUAAUUACAAAAAUCACAAAAAAAUCAGAAAAUUGAAAAAAAAAUUGCAGUUUUUAAUUCUUGUUAUUUUUCUUUACUUAUCUAAUUAGGGUUUUUAUUGCAGGUUGCAUUCAGAACUGAUUCGGCCUAAUCCCAACUAAGGGGGUGCAAUCAACAUUUAUUCCCCCAGCACAUUCAUCAUCAAUUCCUCUACAUUCAUGAGAUUAGGCAGUGCGGAGUGCAGAAACAAAGUUAAGGGAUCUAAGUGGCACAGAGAAUAAGACAUGAUGAAUUUAUAGAUCUCUUCAUGCAUGACGAACAAGCCAAUUCAACAUACUGAGGCACUGAGACCAUAUACAAAUUUUUAUUCAUAGAUUCUUAUCAAACAUAGUUGCAAGGAUAUAAAAGCAUACCUUUUCAAUGAGGAUCUGUGAGUCUCGAUUUUUCCAUGGAAACACACAUGCAUUGGGCAAUUUUCAUUCAUUUUUCCCUAAUCUAAGCACUUGAGACAAAAAUCGAAGGGAGAUGGAGAUAAAAACUACCUGUGAGUGUGUCAGACUAGAGCAGGAUGCGAUAUGUGGUUUCAUCUGAGUAGGUUGUUGGUCUUGCUGCUCGAGGUGCUGGAUUUCCGAGACACGGCGGUGUGUAGAUAGCUGGGCUAUUUAUUGGUUGCAGCACGGAUGCAACGCUUAGCGAGGAUGAAGGAGCAGCUGCGGAAAUGAGAGAAAAAUGUGGGGGAAGGAUGGCUAUUUUUCAUUUUAAAAAGAUAUGGGGUCUGAGUGAAACAGAGAGGGAGGGCUGAAUUUCUAAAGAGACAGACGACUCUUACAGUUUUGAGAGUCAUGCAGAAGAGAGAGAGAUAGAGCAAAGAUGGAUGGGUUUGAAAUGAAAGCAAUGAGAGAUGUCUCUCAUUUUUCUAGAGAGAAUGAGAGGCUUUGGGGUUUGCAAAUCACAUCAUUAUCCCUUUCCAUCUGACAAGGGGAUGGGACUGGACAGAAGAGAGCCGUUUGGCUCUAUGAUCGAGGCUAGUUUAAGGGAAUCCAAAGCGUGUUCGAGAAUAGCUCGGGUUUUUCAAAUGAAAAAUGCAGCUGCUGUCCCAGCUUAUAUUGUAAUUGCUGCCAGGAUUUGACACAUAUGGGGCUUGUACGUGUUAGCUAGCGCGUAUUCGCAAGUUCCCAGCUACCAAGUCCUGCUUUCGAAUCCCCGAAGUGUCCAUUAGUGUUUUACUUCUCCACAUUUUUGUCAGUGCACCUCAGCAAUCGCAGUUCCACCCUCCAACUCUCUGGUGUGUCAAUUUUUAAUACUUUUCCUUUUCUUUUAUUUUCUGUUUUCUGUUUUACUUUAUUUUAUUUUAUUGUUUUUCUAUUUCUUUUUCCUAUUUUCUUUUCUUAGGAUUUUUUUUUUCUUUAUCUUUGAUUUUGCAUUCUGCAUUUUCUAGGAUUUAGUAGUUUUGUUUUUGUUCUUAUUUCUUUUGUUUAUUUUCCACACCUUGAGGACAAAGUGUGAAAUAAGUUUGGGGCUAGGAAAAUAACAUUUUAGGAUUUUAAUUUUUAUGUCAGUUAAAAUUUUCAUUCUUUUUAAGUUAAUAUCCAUAGAUUAUUUUAAACGUUAGAACAAAUGGACAUGGUAAAGAUUAAUCCCACAGUAGAGUCUUUUCUAUUUAUCGUUGCUUAGACACUAAUUCAUGAAUUAUACUUUGAACUUUGCACAUCACACCAACAUGGUUUGUGGGGAGUGAGAUUGAAACACUUGCUUUUAGUCUAAGUUUAAUUUUAAUUUUUGUUUUAAGUAAAGUUAGUUAUUAUUGUGAAUAAAGUAAUAAUUGUCUCACCCGAGGUUUUGCUUAGUAACCGGGCCAGUCUUGCCUAAUCAGCAAUGAUUUUCGCGUCAAACGGUAGAGUUUUGGCAUGGGGCAGGGUGGUUAGUUGGUUUCGUAGCCUUUUCAGCUCGGAUUAAUAAGUCCUUAGGAUUGUUUUACACCUAGUGCCCUAAAACCCUAAUGGUUUGGGAGUCAUUGACCUAAAGCUCGCUACAUGGGUUGGAUUGAAAGUUUAAGUGAACCGACAUUGCACGACCACUACUGUUACUGGAAAAAAAAAAGACAAAAAAAUUGAAGAGAAAAAGAAAAAAGCUAUAUUCAAAGUUAGUAUGUGUGAAAUAAAGAAGGACGAGAGGUAAGAGUUUUAGUCGAGUCUCCUUAACUAUGUUGGUUCACUUUACACCAAAGGAAGUUUGUGAAUUCUUUUCUAAUUGAUUCUAAAUGGCUUAGACUCUGUGGUGGGAUUGGUUGGAACUUUUGAAAAGAUGUUCUAGUUUUUAAAAUUUGCUAUGGAUUGCAACUUUGAAGGUGAACAUUUUUGUUAGUUGAGUUUUAGCUAGUUGUCUAGUUUGUUAAGUUUUUAUUUUUGUUUGAGUCUUGUUUUGCUUGAGGACAAGCAAAAAGCUAAGUUUGGGGGUAUUUUGAUGAGUAGAUUUUAUAUUAUAUAUUUUACCUUAAUCUUAGUAUAUUUUGGUUAAUAUUUUGGAAGAAUUUUGAUACUUUGAAUUGUAUUUUCAAUAUAGAACUUUCAACUUCCUCUGGAGCAAAACAGGACCAAAUGGACGAAUUUUGGAGUAAUUCUAGUUGGAGGACGUUCGUGAGUCACUUAGCUUGAUCGUAUCAAAAUUUGGGAUUUUUCCACCAAGCGGUUAUUUUCUGGCGAUAAAAUAAAGGAGCAAUGUGCAGUGCUGGAAAAUGACGUUUUUUUUUUGCUCAAAUUGCAUUUUUGAAGCCCAUGAUGACCUCGGAUGGGUUCGUAGCCUUCUGGAGAAGUGUUCAGAAUAUUCCAAACAUUAAAUCCAGCUAUAUUGGGCUAGUUUUGGAGCAGCUUAUGGGUCCAAAACGUGGCUGUUCAGAUUUUAGACGAAUUUUACCAUUUAAUUUAGCGUUAUGUUUCUUAUUUUAUUUGAUUAUUAAUUUUAGUUUCCUGAAGGAAAUAAAGGACCUGUUUUUUUAGGGUUUUGUGGGGAGGCUUAGCAGAUAUAUUGCUUGGCCGUCUACAAUUUUUCUCGACGCUUUAUUUUAUGCAAUUUUGGAGACAGAGAGAAUUGUUAGGGUUUUGGAGACUUUUUACUUGGAGGUGCUUUCAAUCCUUUUCUUAGUAAUAUUUUCUAUGAUUUCAAUUAUGAAUAUGCGUAACUAAUUCUCUUUUGCUAGGGCGAAGCCUUGAGCCUUAGCAUGAAUAUGUGAUUUUUAUUUAAUUGCUUAUGAUUGAUUGCAUGCAUACUUUGAAUUGUUAAUCACCGGGAUAAAAACUAUCUAAUUGUCUUAAUGCCCGAUCACCAUUAGGAUCUUUAGAAAAGUAAUUUGAUGCAAUUUUGGUCGGAAGGUUCCUUGAAAUUGACGCUGGCUUCUUGUGAUUAAUAAUUGUAAUUUCACUUAGGAUGAAUAUCACGUCUUAAGGAUUGCAUGGUUUUUUAAAUGAUUUUCAUAAAGCAUAAUGAGUCUUUCAUGUUCAGAUUUGAUUCGAACGUCCGGACGGGUUGCAUGUUAGAUAUGCAUUCUAUGUUGGGGGUUCCAAGUAGAAUAUGAAUUAGGAAAAUCUAACCUUCAAAGUGGCAUGUGUAGAUCAUAAGUAAUUGGUAAAAAUUCAUAGGAUUGCUAGGUGAUGGUGGAACCCUAGUGCUUUCUUAAUUUGAUUCUCCCAAAACUGUUUUAUUUUCUCUCUAGCUCUAAUAUUGCAGAUUGUUUAUUUUAAUUCAUUAAUUUCGUUUUUAUUUUAAUUAAGUUAUAAAAUCAAUCACCUAAACUUCUACUUUACAAUAAUUAAUUGAAAUUUGGUUUGUUUCGAAUUAUUUAAUAAUCCCUGUGGAGACGACCUUGCGAGAUCCGUUUAUACUACAAUAACCUUAUGAUUCUUGCAAGUAAAAUAGGAGAUUUAAGCCCGUUCACAUGAGUAGUAAAAAUCCUAUCAACACUCCAUUGAAUCACAGCACAAAAUCACAUAAUCUAACAGAGCCUACAUAUACGUUGACACGAUUUUGACACCAACGGCUGUGGGAGCACUUGGCAAUUUUAAUCGCUUUCUGGCUCACUUGAAGGAGGUUUAAUAGAUUGAUCGUCCAAUGAAUCAUCGUGAUGGAAGAGACAUCAACGUCAAACCGCUUAUGAGCUGAGAGGAAAAUGGUCAGCCUAGCGGACAUAAACUCACUGACACAAUUUUUCAAGAAUAGUUAUUGUCAACUAAAUGUACAUGGUUGUCCUGAUUAGAAUAUUUCACUACAAUACAACGGUUUUACAGUUUCAUGAUUUACUUUUCAUUUUAUUUGCUAUCUUCUUUCAAUCAUGUUAUGAACAGACGAUAAAUUUACACACAAGGGGCUAAUUACUGGAAUAUUGAAAGACGAAAUAAUGUAAGCAAACACCAUAGGCAGAUUUAAAAACAUGUUAAGAAUGGAAUAUUGUACAGAUAAGUUUUAAAUAGUAACAAGCAAUGGAUGCACCCAGAAUAGUACUAAUCCAUGCUGAAAUUACCAUGAAAAUACCAAUGUGUGCUUAAAUAUGCCCCAAAUUAAAUAGCACUUAUCCAUGCUCAAAUUCUCACAAAAAUAUAAAUGGCGAACAUUUUAAUACAUUCUAUUUCAUAGAAUUUUUCAUGUGGUUGACCUUAAAAAACAUGUUAGACUCUGAAGAUUUCCAAAUCUUUAUAUGAUUAUAUUACUUACUAGCCAGGUCAAAAAGUUUCAGCUGUACAAAUAUUAGCAAUGCAAAUAUGUAGUCUCAAAGCAGGUUCUUUACUGCAAGAGAUCAGCCUAGCGACUUAAUUUUUGCCCGUGUCAGCAACUACAGCCCUUAGCUUCCCAAAAAUUUAUCUGAUCACUCGAAUAAAUGGUACCUAUACAUACGAAUGUUCUAACUUGAUUUAGUUUGUUAACAGUGGAAUCUUUACAUAUUAAAAAAUUUCCCUUUAUGGGAGCUAUAGGUCUUUGGCUAGCUAAUUCAGUACUCACUUGUAUUAAAUCUCUUAUGGAUUAGAUCACAUGAUUGGUGAUUAAGCCAAAAGAACUAGGGACCGAAGCCAUUUGGAAGCUCCCGAGUCAAUGUCCAUCUUAUUAAAGAUGCACCAUGUCCACUCUCGGCAGCUGUAUAGAUGUAACUAAAACUGAGUGACAAUAUAUCCCAUCUUCAAGAUAAUUCCCAAGCUACUUAGAUCGCAGACAGGCUUAUUGAAGGUUAAACGUUUCUUUCAUUCUUCUGUUUUGUAUGGUGACUCUUAUACAUCUCCUUCAUCAAGUAUCAAUAAAAAGUUGGAGUCGUAAUUGGAUAUAUGGAGAAGAACAUAUACUCAUACAGUAAAUUUCAUAGUGGAGUUGUUUGAAUGAAAAUUUUGCAAUUUACUAUUUACCAAAUAACAUGCUAGUCAUGCAGAGAAAACUAAGGUUAUUGUCCAAUCUAUUGGGGAGACUACUACUUAACGUAUUAGUAUUCUCAUAACUAUAAAAAGGAUCCCAAUGGAAACUCAAUCACAAAAGAUCCUGAAGAAAUUAAUCCAAAAUUGUACAGGUCACGUCUUUUUUACUUCUCUUUUUUAUGAAAGAAAACAAAAUUACUACUUAUGGUUAAAUCAGACGGUUCAUCCACGACCAAGAAAUGUUUUCUUGGUCAUUAGCAGAAGACAAUACCAACCAGCAGCAACAUUCCUGGUCAUAUAAUUUAAAGGGAUGCUUUCUAUAUUGUAAUGUAAAAAGCUACGAAUAUUGCUACAGUUGUGAUUCAAGGGGAACAGUAUGUGUCUCCCUCCUCGAUCGAAAAAAAUGUACAAAAUCUGGAAAUUGUUUGGUUUACAAAAUUGUAACAAUCACACAGUUCGUGUAAUUGCUCUCCACAGUCCACCACUCUAUCACACUGCACUCAAGCAAGAUACGAGAUCAAGGAAAGCAUCUUGUCUGCAGGGAAUUGUUAGACCACCCAUUGGAUGAUCAAACCCAAAUUCUUAUUCAGCUUCACUUAGCAAGUGUUGAAAUCCAGGCUGGCAGAGGAAAGAUAUGGGAACCACAAAUCGUUGCUUCUCACUCUCACCAACAUAAACUGCAAAAUAACCUUUAGGGACAUCCGCUAAAUUAUAUGAAGCUCCUUGACUUGAAUUUGAAAGACCGUCGAAAAAGUUUCUUAGCAGGAAUUACAGCAGGCAGGCGGAACCCCAUUGUAGAAAAACUUUGGAGGAAAGACUAGCAAUCGAGUUUAUAAAAACUUGAAGAUCUCAAGGAACUAGCAACUGCAAAACAAGAAAGCUAUAUGCUUGAUCCCAUUCAUAUGGUGGUCUUGAUCCCAUUCAUAUGGUAUAUAUAGAUGAAAAGUCUUUCUGAAUUAAUAUCUUCGGCUAAAGAAAAAAUAUAUGGUAAAGACAAAGACAAUUCGAUGAAGUAUAGAAGGGAACAAGAGCUCAUUAGGGACCACAUACAUGGUUCUGUCUUCAAAUUAAUCAAGAAUUUAGGGAAAAUAUGUGGAGCCUCAAUCACUACCAAGGCUUCGGAAGAAUUGGAAGACAGAGCCAUGUGAACUUUGAAAUGCUAAUAUCUAUUGCCCCUCACGACAACUACUAGAGAGUUUUUCCCGACACAUCCAUCGUUUUAUCAGUUUGGGUAUGGAAACUUGUUGCUAUGAUAUAGUAGUUCAACCACAAAUCAAUUUGUAUUGGGUCCAUAUUUAUAGUAUGUUGAACUAGCAACCUGCCAGAAAAUGCCUGUUUUCAGCAUGUCCCUGAUUUUAUAGUUAUGUAUCUAUUCUUCCAAAACGAUUUGUUCGGGCAAAGAUUUCUCUGGAGAGGGCUCCUCGGCUCUUAUCACAGCUCCCUAAGGGAUUGGCACUUUGGAUGUGUAGUCGGGCUCUUGCUUGCUGAUGUGCUACAAGAAGAGGACAAAGUUAGUUUUGAAAGCUGCCUUUGUUAGGCCUUAGGUGUAGGCCUUGAGGCUUACAAUCAAAACUAACUAAGUGCUAGGCAUGCCACUACUAUCUCAGUAUAGCAGAUGUAGAACAAGAUUGUGUUUAAUCAAUUACUUACGCCCCAAGUUACUUGAACUUCUUGUUAUCAAAGGAUUGUCGCGGAUGGGUUAAAUCCACAUUAAGUUCUUUUUCUUGCCUUGUAUAUUCAAAUGAGGGGAGUGCAGAUCCCUUAAGUCAUUUAUUUGGUUCUUGAUUGGUUUUAAAUGAAAGCAUAUCCAUUAAGAUGACCAGAUCCAAAUGCAAAUGAGACUCUUAAAGUAUGAAAACAGAUGGAUAUGACUUGAAUACAUGUUGGAGAAUACAUUAAGUAGUAGAUCUAUUAUCUUAGAAAACAUACAAAGAACUUUAAGCAAGAUUUCACCUUGUCGGGUAAGGUUGAAUCUUCUUACAAUCACUUCUCUUUGAGUUUACAGAGGUUUUUAUGCUAAAAAGGGAUGGAUGGUAAACCAGUUUACCCAAGGGAAUCGACACUACACCACUAGGGGUAAUAGCAGAGCUUUAAACUAGACAAAAGAUAGUUUUUGUGAGGGAGAUAUCCUGAAAAUGAUCGAGAUCUGGGCUGAUUACAGCUUUUAGAUGCAAAUCUGGCUUGAGAGCAGAGUUUGUAUGUUUGUUUGUUUGAUUGGUUUUGUUUGUUUGAUUGGCUGAGUGUCCUUGUCUCUAGGGCUUCUUCCUCCUUUUAUAGGCAGAUUAGCCCGACUGCAGUGAUUUCACUCUUGCCUGAAAGCACUUGAAGGGUAGUGAGUCAACAGCUUUUUACUUGUGUUGCCACUGAAAAGUGCUUUUUGGCUGAUUAUGAGUUAGUCCCUAUCACUUGAUAUUUAAAUCAUAGGCACAUGGCCUAUGCAUUAAUGGGAAUGCACCAAUUUGUCUCUGGGCUUGAUGCUUGGGCCUCGGGCAAGUCUUCCUUUAAUUGGUAUCUCUGGGCUUCCAUACAUUUGCAGCCCAAUGUUCAAAUAUUAACCCAAACAGUGCCCCCUUUAAUCAUUGUUGAGGCUUCAAUCCCAGGUGCUAAUAAUGAUUAAAUAGUCGUCGCACAUUAACAACUGUUGCACGCCUUCACUUGGGACUCGCACUAUUUAAAGCAACCGUUAGUUAACAAGACCUUUGCACUAACCCACAAACUCCACCAUUAAGUAACCACUUAUUAUAAAAUCCUUACUUAACCCCUUCAGCAAAGCACCUUAACUAUAUCGAGCCUUCGAAUUCUCAGAAAUUCCAGUACGCUCUUGCCUUCUCAGUUUUUCAAUCUGUCCCCCCUUAAUUCCAACUUUUCCUCCUAUCUUCCUCUUAAAGUCUUCAAUGGCACCCAAAGUUGCUUGAAUUCAAUCUCCUUACGAGAUUGGUGAGGGGAUUUCCACAAUGCGCCAUCUUUUCAACGGCCUUCAUCACCCUCAGGCAGGCCUACACACCGAACUUUUAUUUGAGGAGAAAAGAGUGCACUCCUUAGGGCCUGUAAGGACUUCUCAGUUAUUGGCUUCUGCAACCUCCUUAGAAAGGUGCACUGCGUCUAACUUCUGUUUCAGGACUUCUAUGGUUUUGGGGAGUAGCCGGACAGCUUUAAUCGUACCGAUAGAUUCCUCGUAUGAAUAUAAAGCUAUCUUUCCUUGCAUUGGUAUCCACAAGCCUAGACAUCCUCAUAGCUUUUUCUUUUUUAAUCACUUCAUCAUCAUAAGUGUAUGCUUUGAGAUCAACUACCAUGACAAUGUUAAAGACUUUGGUAGGACUUGUGGAAGAAGGCUCUGCUAUGGAGGCAAGGAUUACAAAGGUGUCUUCGAUGAUUGAGAGAUUGGAGGAGUCAUGUCCGUAUGAAACAGGCUUACCAGAAGAUUGAAGAAGUCAAUAAAGUAUAUGUUUAAAGUUGAAGAUGCUAAAGCUCAGUUAGCCUUUUCAGGAUAGCUACCUUAGCCAAUGAUGUAAAACUAUUUAUCUGUAACUUCAACAUUAAUGAAAUGAAAAUGACUUCUUCAAUCCUCUUUAACUUGUAUUUUCUCCUUCAAGCUUAACUAUGAUGAGCAUAUAAACUGACUCUUGGAUCCCUUGUAAUGUCUUCUUCAAUGUAACAAUCUCUAACAUCCUAUAAGGUUGGGUGAUAUUUCUUUAAAAACUUAGCAUUGAUUGGAUUCCUCUGUAAGCUUCCUUCCAAAUCUACCAAGUAAUAUCCUCAUUUGUCCAAUACUUGGCUAAUAAUGAAAAGACCCUCUCAUGUCGGGCUCCACUUCCCAAAGCUUCUAAUCUGAGCUCCCAAAGGUAGAAUUACCUUCCAUAUUAACUCUCUUUUCUCGAAGUUCUUCAACUUCACCUUCUUAUUGUAUGCUCGGGCAACAGCCCUCUUCCCCUCUUAAAUUUUAUUUAGAGCUUCUAUUCCGGCUACAUCUAGAUCUUCAACUUUUUGACACAUAGCCUGAAUAUAUUCUUCACUGUGCAACCCAAACUGAUUUUGAACUCACAUUUAUUCUAUCAAAGGAUUCUUGGUAUGGCAAGCCUCACUCAAAUUCUUCUUUGUCUUUCAACCUGAGCAAAUGAGUUAGCGACUGAAUCUUGCCUGCUAAGUUAGCGAUGAAUCUCCUUAAAAAGUUGAUCUUUCCCAGCACCCUUUGCAAUUGUACUUUAUUGGUGGGAGAAGGUGAUUCCAUGAUUGCCCGAGCUUUGUUCUUGUCAAACUUUACACCCCUUUGAUGAACAAGGAAUCCCAAAAAGUUGCCCAACCUUACCCCGGAAACACAUUUCUUUGGAUUCAUUUUUAACCUAUGGAUCCUUAUUCUUGUUAAAGCUUAUAUGAGGUCUAUCAAGUGUUGUUCUUCAAUUUUAGACUUCACCAAGAUGUCAUCAAUGUAUACCUCCACGCUACGACCAAUUAAGUCAUGAAAAAUGGCAUUCAUCGCUCUUUGAUAGGUUGCACCAGUAUUUUUGAUCCCGAAUGGCAUGACUAAGUAUUCAUAUGCUCCCACAUGACCUGGGCACCUAAAAGUUGUUUUGUGUAUAUCUUCUUUAGCCAUUUUUAUCUGAUUAUAAUCGGUAUUCCCAUCCAUGAAAGAUAGGACUUUGUGUUUGGCAACUGCAUCUAUGGACAAGUCAGCCAUGGGCAUGGGAUAUUCAUCUUUAAGCGUGGCUCCAUUAAUGUUUCUAUAGUCAAUAUAACAUUGAACUGCAUUAGUUAAAGCCUUUAAUACAGGUACAAUGUUGGCCAACCACUCGACAUAUUUGGCAGGCUUAAUAAAUCCAGCAUUUACCAGCCUUUCGGUUUCUUCUUUAACUUUCUUUUCGAUCUCUUUCGACAUCAUUCAUGGUGCUUUCUUUACAGCUUUAUAUCCCUCCUUAAUAGGUAUCAUGUGUUCUACUAAGGUUGGAUCUAAACCCUGCAUCUCAGUGUAAUGCCAAGCAAAACAAUCUUUGAACUCGUGCAAAAGGCUAACAAUUCUUGCCCGAUCUUCCACUUCCAACAAGCUACUAAUCUGUAUAAGCCUUAGAUCUUCCUUAGACCCCAAAUCAUAGUCUCCAAGGGGUCUUGCACCUCUAGUGGUGGCUUGUCAAGUUUUGCACAUAAAAACUCAACUAACUCUGGAUUCUCAGGUAAGUCUUUUAGUUCAUCCAAGUCAUAUAUACAUUUAGACAUUUGUAUGGCCGUUUCUAACUCUUCUUCACCACUGUUCUGGAUACUUAAGGUUGCUUCCUCUUGUUCCUCAGUCAAGCUCUCUCUUCCAUACAUUAACAGUCUUUUGAUUAAGGACCUAACUGCAAUUACUUGGUCAUUCUUUCUUUGUUCCGACAUUACUAGUUUUGGGGAGUUGGGAAAAUAUGGGGUUUAUCCCAUUCUUCCCAGGUGAGGAACAAUCUUUGCUCCAAAAGCUUUUGGGCUGUCACUUUAGUCGGGCUACCGCUCUCAUCAGCUCCUAAGCUCUGGAGAAUCCCAAUGCUAGGAUUAUAAAAGUUGGCUUCUGCCACAUUGACAAUGGGAAGGAAUGGUCGUGACUUGGCCUCCACCAUCUCCCAAAAUCCUAGUCCCAUUGUUCAUUCCUCGUGGUAAACUGCCACUUGUUGAUGUAGGGUGGAAAGCACUGAAAGACUCUGAUGAAUCCAAUCUCGGCCCAGUAAAGCUCCAUAUAUGGAAAUACUAUCCAUAACUAAGAAGGCUAGCAUGAUCUGCUUGGAACCCAAGUCAACCUCCAAGGGUAAUAUCCCAUGAGUUUUAAUGAUGGUUCCAGAAAAACUGGAAACUAUUAAGUCCAUGGGGAUGAGAUACUACUUACUUCUACAUACCCUUUUCAUCUGCUUGAAAGGCAACACAUUGAUCGUGGCUCAUCCAUCAAUCAAAACCCUCUUGAGGGGUACUCCUUUCAGAUGAGCAGUUACAUAAAUGGGCUUAAAAUGGUUGGCUAAGGUCAAACUCGAGCAACUGAAGACCAUUAUGUCAAUGUACACUCUAUCAGGCUCUUUCCUUGUAAGCUUGGGCAAACUUGCUCUGCCCGACUCCUCUUUUCCUAUUUCUUCAACACUAAUAUGUGUCAUCAUAGGUUCUGUUGCUAAGUAAUCACCCUCAAUUGUGGCAGGUUGAUCAGGCUCAGCACAAAACAUGGCAGAUAAAACAUAUGUCAUGUUUACGUAGACGUUGCUAGGUCUAGAUAAGUCGUUUUUAAACCCAAUAUGGCCCAUGAACUCAUCCAACCAAGACUGUGUUUUUGCAGGCAGCAUUAAUUCAGGCAACGUUUCCUAUUGAGUUAUGCCACAGUUUGACACUUGUCAUAGGACUUCAUAAAGAGUAUCAACCAACAAUGGUGCGAGCAACCCCCUCUCCAGUGAGAUAGUUGCAAAGCUUAUUGGUUAUGGGCUUCAUCUUGGCUUUGGCAUCAUUACCAUAUCCUCUUGAGCUCUUCUCAAGAUUUUGUAUUUCCAAGGACAAGGGUUCUGUGCACAUGGUCUCCUUCCCCUUCGGUCUUGCUAUUAGUUUUCUCCACCACUUUCUUGGUUCUCCAAUGGAGUUGAUUUCUUCCCCCAUCAGGUUCCUUCUCAAACUUUACAUUCUCAGAGGUUUUUAAGGUAGUGGGGACUUCCAAUGAGUUCAUGUGGGCACUGUGUUGCCUCUGAACUCUCAUAAUCAUAGAAGCUCCUAUUUCUUUUACGGGUUUCCUGUCCUUUCCAACCACAUACCAUUUUCACCCGAGUCGAGCAGGAUUUUUCUUCGUGACUGGAUUCACUAUCAUUUCCCUUCUUCUGACAUCUCUACUGGCAUAGCUUAGUUAGGGUGGCCUCACAUCCACCCAUCUUGGCACUUUGGCUUCUCUAUCCUCCAUUUAUUCAGAAGCUUCAUAAUUUCUGAACACUUCUAACAAGUCUUUUGGUUGAGAGUCCACUCCCAACCUUUAGAAAACAUUCUUAGAGGUCUCUUUCUCAACUGCCCACAUGACAUUUUUGCGGGCUUCUUGCUCUUCUCUUUUCUUCUGAUCAGCUCCUGAUUUAUAAUGGCUCAUGACGCUGGGACUUCCAACUCACACUCGCAUUGGCACUUGUUACAAAACACCACUCAUUUGAUUAUGGUUGUUUUGGGCCUCUCCGGCAACUUGAUAGCUCCUUCAGUCGGCCUAUCAGCUUGCCUCCGUUCUGCUUUCACCUCCCAGGUAGCUUUUCCUUUCCCAUUUUCAGCCCACGUUAAGUUGAUCAUGUUUAUUGGGGCUUCUGGGAAAGGGUCAGUGUCAAUCAUCAUAUUGGCCUGUAGUUUCUCUAGCUACAACUUUUCUUUCAUUAUAAAGUCUUGUAUCCAAUCCCUGAACUGGACACAGUUGGUUAUGGAGUGAUUGAAAGUGUAAUGCAGCUUGCAAUACUUCUUUCCUCUCAGUUCUUCGUGCUUGGGCAGCUUUUUGGUGUUGUCGAGCAUAAUCACUCUCGCCGGAAUCAACUCCUCAUAGAUCUCUGUGGCCUUGGUCAAGUCAAAAUAAUAACUCUGGUAUUUGGGGGGCUUCAUGGGGACAAAUCCACCAUCAUUCAUGACCACUUUAUGGUCCUUGGCUAGCUGGACUAACCCUUUCACUAUUAAAGGCUUAAAAGGGGUAGUCGGGGUAGUCGUCUCUGCCGCACACAUCUCUGGGCUCCCACACAUUUGUAGCCCAAUGUUCAAAUAUUAACCCAAACGGGAUUUAAUUAUGCAAAUUUUAAUUUGAUCUGAUGGCAUCUGUGGUUAUAACUUGGAGACAAGUUCAUGUGAUUUUCCAUGAGCUAAUCUCUCUCAUGGUACCAUCAUGGUGCCUCUACCAAUCAGUCGUUUCAAAUAAUAGAUGGUUUAUGACAUAUACCCAUUUAUCUAUAUAUUUUAUGGUCUGGCUCAGAAGAAAAUCUCAAAGCCUUCUCUCAUUUUUAGAAGUCAACUGAUAUUUCCAUUGUUGCUUAAUUUUCUCAUUAAGAAAUUUUAAACUAUGGGCUUCUGGUUACUGGACACUGUUCAUGCUAAGAAAUUUCAAGUUUCUUCAAAGGCCUAGGAUAUUCCUAAUGAGAACUAUGAUGUAUUACUAUUUUUUAUUCUCUUGGUUAUCUUAUAUAUCUUAUGUUUGGGUUCUAGUGAACACUUAUGUAUUUGUUCCAAUGUCUUUGUAUCACUUGUCAAUUCUAGGUGUAUAUCAGGAUUCGGGCGUGACACCUCUCAACCAUGAUAGAUCGAACAUAAAAGGAGAGAUUUGUUAGCCUACGACUUUAUAUGCUCCGCUAUUGAUUAAAUACUUUGUAUCCAUACAAUCUCUGCUAUGCUAAGUAAUAACCGCCAUAUAGUAAGGCUUAGCUAAGUUCGCUAGCUAAAGCAGUUAGCUCUUAAACUCUUCGGUAUAAUACGAAUGAAACCGUGUAAUUAUAAGUUGUAAAUCCUGAACUGAGAUUUUCAACAAAAACAUGGUACAUCACAAUUCUAAAUAUUAUAAAAUUGAGCUCUUAUUUUCAAUAGCAAAUAGUAUUUCCCUUACAAAAAUGCUAUGAUCAUUUACUAAAAAAUUACUGCAACUUUUAUGUACAUCAUUCAAAAAUAUAGUUUUUACUCCCCACAAAAAUUUUCACAAGUACUUCCUAUAGCCAAUGUUACCAAAUCAUGUAAUUCUUCAUGAACCACGGUUGGCCUGGACAGUAGUAGGUAAGAGAUACUUGUAUUGUAAACAAACUAUAUAGAAACUAAAAUCUUUCUCUGUAAGCUUUCUUUUGUAUUGAAUGAAUAACUCAUUACAUUGUGACAGUAUAUAUAGCCUUUGGCUAUUUACAUUCACACCCUUAACAACCUUAACUAAUCACAACAAUUAAUAUAACUAACUACAUUUAGUUAUAAAAAAAAACUAUUUAUCAGUAACUGAAAUGGAUGACUUUUUAUGACUUGCCAUUCCUCCCAAUCCCCCUCAAGCUAAAAUUGGGAUCAAAGAUGAUACCAAGUGGAAGCUUGGAUUGCAAGUGAGCAAACCUGCUUUUAGACAAAGACUUGGUGUGUAUGUCAACCAAUUGAUAUUCAUUGCAAAUAAACUGCACUUUAACUAGAUUGGCAAGCACUAAUUCUUUGAUAUAGAGUAGUCUAUCUCAACGUGUUUUGUUCUUGCAUAAAAUACAGGAUUGGAAGCUAAAGAGAUAGCUGAUGUCACGCCCCAAUCCCGACAUACGUCCAGGAUCGACAUGUGACAUCACCAAGUAUCUAUAUCUCUAACAUACCCCGCCUUCGGGAUAUGUGCAAACACAACUCACAAUUCAACUACGUAGUAAUUUUUUGUACCCUUUAUGGCUGUAUCUAACCUCCUCGAUAGACUUCCUACGUACCCUACACAAGGAUCAAGCCAUUCGUAGUUCAUCCAAACAUUAUCCUCAACUUUUAUCACAGUACUUUUAAGUGGAAAAAUCAUAGCACUCAUCAAUCAAUUAUUAGAACUUGACAUGCUUGAAUUACUAGGUUUAGGGUUACAUAACAAUCCCACAUGACCAUUAAUAUUUCCACUUCAUCCAUCACAUAAAUCAUAAUGUUUCUACACAUAAAAUCACAAUACAUAGCAUGUAACAUAUUAAAGAAUCAAUAAAGCACAAUAUUAUUUUCUAGCCACAUCGAUCAACUAAAAUAAUCAUACUAAUAAUAAUCAUAUCCAGCGUCAUUCCACAAUCCUGUCAAUUAAUCAAUUCAUGAAUCAAAGAUGCACGAUCUUAGCAUUUAAUUACGUUAAUCAAUCAAUGCGAUAACAUAUCAUUUCACGAAUUUAACCAAGGAACUCUAUAUAAUUCCCUACUUGGAUUAUGAGUAAUAAACAUGAUAAUUCUAAUUUUUAUUCACAAGAUCUAUUGUGGGUAAUUCUCAUUCACUCGAAUCUAGGGUUCUAGACUAAUCUUAUGGGAGUUAGCAAAAGCAAGGAUUCCAGACCACUCAACGGAAUCCAACAACAUCAGGUUCCAGACCACUCAACGGAACCAAAAUACCAAAUGGUUUCUCAUAAUCUACCCAGACCAAUCAUAUGUAAAACCAGUGGCUACAUUAAGGGAAUGCUGCACUGGCAAAUCAGAACUCGGUUAAGCCGCGAAGCUCAGGUGAGUGACAAUAAUGCAAGUAUGUGAUAUUCAAUAAAAACAGACCAUCGAUCACAAUCUAUAAACAUCAAGUAUAGAAUCAUGCUUUAUGAAAUCAUAAUCAAGUCGCUGAAAACACCGAAAGAGUCACCUAGACAUCCAACAGCUUUUCUAAUUCAAACCACAAGAUUCUUAAAAACCAUCGUCCAUAUGUACAUUAAAAAUUAGGGUUAGAGGCAUGCAGUUCGGCCGAAGCCUACAUAAGUAAUCAAAUAGGAAGUGCCCCCCCCCCAAAGCGGAUUAACCAAGCAGAGCCACCCCUGAGAAAGUAACCAAGUAGGCAGUGACCUCCCAAUACAGAUUAACCAAGCAAAGUCACUCAUACAGCUGUUAGGAAGUGAUCACUCAAUGCGGAUUAACCAGACAUGAUCAAUCCUAAGCAUACAUGGCCAUAAGGAUCGCCCAACGCGGAUUAACCAAGCGCGAUCCAUAUAUAGUAUGGUCCCCCAAUGCGGAUUAACCAAGCAGGACCACUAGUGACCCCCCAAUGCGGAUUAAUCAAGCAAGGUCAAGAUAAUCAGGUAGGUAGUGACCCCCCAACGCGGAUUAACCAAGCAGAGUCACACCUAUAGAAUUGUUAGGAAGUGAUCACCCAAUGCGGAUUAACCAAGCAUGAUCACCCCUAAGUAUAAAUGGCCAUAAGGAUCGCCCAAUGUGGAUUAACCAAGUGCGAUCUAUAUAUAUUAAGGUCCCCCAAUGCAAAUUAACCAAGCACGACCAUUAGUGACACCCCAAUGCGGAUUAACCGAGCAGGGUCAUAGUCCUCUACUAGCCCUUAAUUUACAAAACAUUUCAAUAUGCAAUUCGAAUCACUUUUUCACAAAUAUUACCAAUCCAUGAAUCAAAUCACAUCUAAUAAAAAUAGAUCGAUGACCAAUUAUAAAAGAAUCACAUUUUAACAGAAAAUACAUUUAUAAAACCAAGUCAUAUCCGCUAAGGAUAUUAAUAUAAAGAAUUGGGUAAUCACCAUAUCACAUAUAUUAAAGUCACUCACCGAGACUAGUCCGCAAGGCUUCACUGAGUCUCUAGUAAUACUAAUUUUAGUAAUUCAAAUGUUUCAAGACCUGUUGACCAAAAGUCAACGAUGGGGGUCCACACCCUAGCAAUUUAAUUCGGAAGAUCCACACAUCGUAAUCUAGAUCUGUAACUUCCUAAGGUCCACAAUAUGCUCAAAGAACAACAUACUAAAAUCUCAUCGCAAUCCGACAGUCAGAUCUCCGCCAAUUGCUAGAAUUAGGUGGCGGUUAACAAUUAAUUUUACUAACUUAGAAAUCUAAUUCGGAAAGAUCCGUACGUCAGAUUCCCAAUCCGUCAAUUCCAAUUAUCAUCAAAUAUUAUGUUCCAUAAUGCAUUAGGGUUUGGUGACGAUCCAACGGUCGGAUUGCCGAAUCAGAUUUUGAUCAAGUAAUGUAUUGUAAUGAAACUAACUUCAAACAACCAAAUUACAUCAUACGGAUAUCAAUUAUGGAAUUAGGGCAUCUAAUUCAACUCAGGAAGACAUCAUUGGCCCACUGGCUCUGCGCCGCCGCACGCGCCACCAUGGGUGGUGGUCGACCACCCAAUUUGUCAAAAAAUUCAACUAUUUUAAAAAAUUACCAAAUUUUACAAACAAUUAGAUCUCAGUGAGGGGAUAAAUUUUCAUGCCUAUGGCCAAGUCUAAUUCAACCGGGAAGUGUCCCAAUUUCAUCCAAACUUGCCGGAAACCCUAGAAAUAGGUGUUCCUCGAUUCAUCACCAAAACGAACUCUGACGCCUCAUCCAAUGCUUGGGCCUUGCUCCAGGGGUUGAGGGGAGUCUAUUGGUAGUGGUGAUUGACGGUAAUCAUUGUCGGAAUCACCGUAAAAUGAGAAAACUCGCUAAAAAACCCUUGGCACUUUGUGGCUUUGACCUAGACAAAUGGAAAGGAACAAUGGAAAUCUAACACUACAAGGAUAUAUGACUCAUCAAGAGCUUUCCAUAGACACCAAGAUCACCCAAAAUGGAAGUCGGAUGAAGAAGAUAUGGUCGGGUCAAAAAUGGUGGUUCGCGGGUGAAAAACAACCCAUUUUCCUUUCCCCUCCUUUUCUUGUUUUCUGAUUGAGCUAUCCCCUCGUUUUCUCUCCCGCACUCUCUCCUUUCUCCCCCCUCCCUUGUUGCCACUUGGCAACUUCUAAACAUUUAUUUAUUUAUUUUCCAACAACUAAAAUGUCUCUAAUUUCUUCGUUAUAACUCCAUUUCAUGAACGGUUUUCGCCUACGUGUUCAUGAGAUCAAGUUCUAUUCGAAAAUAUAAAUUAUGACCACGAAAGGUCUACAGAAUUUAAAUAAUUAAUUUUCAAAACUUCAACCCUCAUUUUAAAUUAUGCCAAGAAACAAUCAACAUUUUAAAUUAAUAUAAAUUCCCGAAAAAUAAUAUAAAAUCGCAAUAAUACAAUUACGUAGAUUAUAAUAGUGAAACCCAGGAACGGGAUUUCGCAGUUGAGAUAUUGUCACACCACAAGGUAGGCAUUUUAAGGGGAGGAAACUGAAGAUCAUGGAAGAUUUUACAAAUCCAAGUGAUCUUUGCAGCUAUGUAAGCUAAGGAUUGAUACUCAACUUAUGUGGAAGAUCGAGCAACUGUGCAUUGUUUCUUGGCACUCCAACUUAUGGCAUUUGAUCCAAGAAACACACAUUAUCCAUUUGUUGAUGUCUGUCAAAUGUGCAUCUUGCCCAAUCAGCAUCUGAGUGUGUUGAAAGAUGAAUAAGACCCUUUUUUGAACCAUAAACCAUGAAUGAUAGUGCCUUUAUGAAAUCUGAGUACUCAUUUUGCAGCUUGAAGGUGUUGAUCCCUUGGAGCAUGCAUGAAUUGACAUAUUUGGUUCACAACAAAUGAAAGAUCAGGUUUGGUCCAUGUAAGAUAUUGCAAUCCUCCAACAAUUGAAUGACACUUAGUAGGAUUGAGCAGAAGAGGCCCAUUGUGAUCCAGUUUCUUAGAACCAAGAGGAGUACAACAAGGUUUUGCACCUUCCAUUUUGUUUUCUUGAGAAGAUCAAGCAAGUAUUUAGUUUGAUGAAGAAAAAUACCUUCAGAUGUUCUAUGCACUUUCAACCCAAGAAAUCGUGUAAUAGACCAAGGUCUUUAACAGGAAAAUUGGCAUUGAGUUUUUGAAUGAAAGAUUGACAGAGAUCAGUGUUUGGACCAAUGACUAAAAUGUCAUCCACAUAAACAAGAACAAUAACCAAUGCAAGUACAUUAAGAAUAGACAAAGAUGCAUCUGAUGAAGAUUGCUUGAAUCCAAGAGUGAGAAGUAAUUGGAAUAGUUUGUCAAACCAAGCUCUAGGAUCUUGUUUGAGACUAUAAAUGGAUUUUCUUAACUUGCAAACAUGGCUUGGAGAUGUUGGAUCAACAAACCUUGGAGGUUGUUGCAUAUAGACAUCCACCUUUAAAUCUCCAUAAAGGAAGGCAUUGCUUAUGUCUAAUUGGUUUAAAAACCAAUUGUACUGAACUACAAAAUGUGAGCAAAACUCUAACAGCGACUAUCUUUGCAACUGGACUAAAGGUUUCUUGAAAGUCUACUCUUACUGAACCUGUUCUCUCCCUUCAUUUUAACUUUUAUUAAUAACAAUAGUUUAUUAGGGAGAAUGCCAAGUCAUCCAUUAGGGAGAUUGCCAAGUCACCCGGUUCUCUCCCUAAUAAACUAUUGUUAUUAAUAAAAGUUGGAAUGAAGUGGAGAGAAUAGGUUCGGUAAGAGUAGCACAAAGCAUACUAACGAGAGUGGUCAGCCUCAUACCAGGCAAGGUACUCAGGGUUAGGAGAAGUAGUGACCACUGGUGGAACAACUAUAGAAGUAUCAGAAUCAGCAGAGACAGCAGAGGAGGCAACUGGAGCAGUGGUGGUGAUGACCGGACGAGACGAAUAUGAACCAUGAACAAAAUGCCAGAAAUGUUGGCCAGUUAAAAAUUGCUUGACCUGACUCUCCCAAGGAAGAUAAUUUGUUUCAGAUAGUUUGACAGAAGCCAAGGUAGAGAUAUUGGGAAUGGUGAUUGAGGAGGAAGAUGCGGUUGCGGAAGCCAUGGAAAGAAAAAGGACCAAAGCUCGAAUACCAUGGGAACUUUCUAUAUUUCAUUGAUUAUAAAAUAGGGCCUAACAACCUUAUCUACAAUUAUAAUCUUCAAUUACAUUCUCCUUCAGUGAGUACAUUUUGCACUCACAGAAGGGAAAAAUAUUUGUACAGUAUGUAGAAAAAAUUUUCUUUACAAAAAUGUAAGCAACUCAUGUAUUUACAAUGUAUUCAAAACUGAGAAAUAAUAUCAAUGAAGGUAUCUUGUCUGCGGGGAAUUGUUAGACCACCCAUUGGAUGAUCAAAUCCAAAUUCUUGCUCAGCCUCACUUAGCAAGUCUUGGAAUGAAGGUUGGUUAAGGUGUGAUACAGGAAUGACAAACCGCUGUCUCUCGUUCUCUCCAACAAAAACUGCUAAAUAACCUUUUGGGACAUCUGCUAAACUAUAUGAGCCACCCCGACUUGGAUUUGAAAAAGACCGCCGAAGAACUUUCUUUGCAUGAGUUACACUUGGACAACGGAAACCCAUGGUUUUAUGUCUCUCUAGAAAAAUGUAUGGUGCAAGUUUAUAGGAGCAAGAAGAAGAAAAGAGUUGAGAAGAUACAGAGACUUGAAUGGAUGGCAAUGAAAGUCUCAUGAAAUAUAUGUAGUUAAAGUUUUAUGUAGGAUGUCCCCUGUUGAAAGAAAUAUGUGGUGACGAUUAAGACCACCUUGAUGGGGCAUAGAAGGGACACUGAUCAAAUGGUGCUAUUUUCCACCUCAACUUCAAUAUUUUAGGUGAAAUGUUAAUGGAGUUGCUAAACCAAGAGAGUUCAAUCUACUUAGUAAGAUAGCAGAUUUUUCCUUUAGUUUCUGAGAAUGAGUUGAAAGUGCUUGAUCGUCUAAAAUUGAAUCAUCAGUGUUCCUUCUCUCUAGUGUUCCAAUAAUACGGUUUUCUGGUUAGAUCACAUAGAGUCAAAACAAGAUGAGAUCUAAUUUCGUUUACUCGUUGAUGAAUCGAGGAAGCCACAUCCCUUCUUAUACAUUAGGCCCCAUAUGCCAGAUUUUCAUAGCACCACACAUUCUUGUUUGUCAAUUAGCAUUUAUUAAAAUUUGAAAGAAACGCAAUUUAUCCACAAAUUCUUGUUUGAUAGGGCAUACGAUGCACUACUGUUGGUCCACUGGUUUAACAUCCAGUGUGCAAGCAAUUGAUUAUUCGAGAACACGUGGAUGCAACAAAGGGUUAUCCAGUUGUUAGGAGGCCUAAUCCAGAAAAGUAAUUCGUGAUUAGUGAUUACCAGGCAUGUCUAAAGCAAAAUGCCUCUUAUCUAACAGGCGUAAAUAACUCCACUGGAACAAAAUUCACACCUAGUGGUCCUUGUGUUGCCUGUUAUCCGGAGGAGGUAGGGAAUGCUGCUUCCACACAACAAUCUGUCAGAAAAAUCUGUCGGAGUAGGAGUUACGUUGGGAGUUAGGUGAGCAGCAAGACAAGACCAUGUGAUUUGGUAUAAGCUAGUUUCCCUCAUCGUUUGUUUUUGCAGCGCCUCUUGACCAAUAAUUUCAUGUACCAUAUGAGUUUUUCGCAUACCCUUUCAUCUAUAUAUACACGUGAUCAAGUUCACAAUGGCAUUAGCAACUCAAGUCUCCACCAUCCUAAGAAUCAAAGCAUUCUCUUUUUUCCAAGUCCUUCCAAUUCCUUUUCUAGUUCUUUUAUCCCCUUGAGAACAAAAAUCCAUGGGUUUCCGGUUGCCUGGAAUUGUUAGCGCCAAGAGAAGUCUCAUCCGGUCUCUAUCUAAUUCAAAACAGACAGCUUCAAAGACCUUAGAUAUCCCAAAAGGCUAUUUUGCUGUGUAUGCUGGGGAGAGACAGAAGAAGCGGUUUGUGAUUCCAAUAUCAUACUUGAAUGAUCCUUUGUUCCAAGAUUUGUUGAGUCAAGCUGAAGAGGAAUUUGGAUAUGAUCAUCCCAUGGGUGGUAUCACAAUACCUUGCAGCGAAUACACUUUCCUUCAUCUCACUUCCCGUCUAAGUGUGUGAGUGAACACUAAAGAAGUGAAUAUGCGAUCCACUUUCAUGUCCAAAAGGAUCCUCACUUUGGAACUCACUGAGCUACGAUGAAGGAGAGGCUAUGGUCAAUCAUCCAUUGAAUCAACUCACAUCCAGUGUUGAGGUGAAGCCAUCAGUAAUACUGAAGCAGCCAGCUGUGAUCUGAGAAGAAAGUCAGAAAAUUAAUGAAGCCGACAAACGAAGAUACUCAUUCAAGAUAUAAUCAACAAAACCCAACUUUCCAAAAACGAUGACUCAAAACUUUUCCACAGGCGCCGUUCAGAGUAUCUGACAUGGGAAUUUAAAUUAACCCAAUUGGUUUUAUGUUGGCUGCUCUAAGUCAAUUAAAUGUAAACUGCUCCGCUGCUCUUGAGCAAAAUAUAUUGGAAUAUGAAAUAAAUUUAUAUCUUGAUCCAGUUUUUUUGUCUUGAUAUUUUAAUUAUACUUCUAGCUUUGGUGCCUUAAAAAAUAAUUAUACAAUGUUAUCUGUUAUAUAAUUAAAUUAUCAAUGACAACAGAUUUUCUCAAGAAAUGACUUUCAAUUAGUUAUACUUUGUACUUCAUAUAAAUCUGUGGUGCCUCAAGUAUUAGUGUUGGGCUUCCACUCAAAUAAAGUUACCAGAUAUAUGUGCUAGACACAAAUAAUAUGGGGAAUUUCUACACUAUUUGCCUUUUAUCCGAUAAUUUAAUCCUAUGACUGGGUAAAAUGUUUUCACCGUGUCAGUGCAACUUUCAGAUAAAAAACACUGGGAUUGUCGUAGAAUUUUUUUUGAAAUUUUCCAAAUAAAGUCUUUCAAAAUUCACAACUAAAUGGAUCGGCCCUUAUAGUAGGUAAUACUUAACAUACAGGUCUUAAUAGACUUGGAAACAUUUAUCUGGAAAAGUUGUAUAUGGCAGCAAAUUGUGUUUGGAUUGACAAGAGACAUAAGCAUUGAAGGAUCACAUGGCUGUGUCUUCCGUCGCAGUCUAAAAAAUUUGGUAGCAGUUGAGUCUAUAUACUUGUUGGUGGACCUUGUGCCCUACCAAUUUUAUGACUACCUGCAAACCACAAAACUUAUUUGAAAUUUUAGAGAUGUGUGGAUAGGAAAAUCCCCUUGAGACUUCCUUUCAAUACAGGAUUUUCAGACGCAUUUGUCUACGAUUACUUAACAGAACCAGAUUAGCAUUCUUUUGAUGGCAUCAAUCUUACAAUUUCAGACGUAAUAUGACAAGUUAGCGGCAGUAUGUACCUACUGCAUGUCCAAUAUGAAUCACUUUACGUACGUAAAACUCUCAGCCAGCCCAGGAACAUUGCCUCACCUGAUUAAUCAACUUUUUCCUGCAAAUUGUUCUUUCAAGAGUCCGGUAGGCAAUUAAAUAUUUCCUAUUUCAGGUCCACUGAUAUUUAGCUUCAAAUGGUGCUCGAACAUUAAAUCAGUACAAUUUGUUGGUUACUGUCUCAUGGAAUCUUCUAGAUUGCCAAAAUAAAAGAAAACACCUCCACAGCUUGUUGAGAUCGACAGGAUACUAGAUGAAACAACAAACCCACAUGCUAGGGGUGGAUUUUGGUUUGGGUAGAGCCAUGAAGUAUGGAGUGCCAUUGGUGUCUUCAUUGAGUGAGUAAAUGCAAUUUAUUAGUAGACCUAAUUAAGAAUUUUUGGAGUACUAGUCCAAUUAAUCGGCAGUUUGAAUUGGUGGUCACAUAGACAAGUUCCUGUCUAAAUCAUAUAUGCCUCUUACCCAAGGUAUAAAAUAUCAAUCAUAUCGGAAAUAUCGGUAGUCCAAAAACACGGAAAUAUCGAUGAAAAUAUCGGGAUAUUAUCGAUAUCGAUAAAAAUUGAAUAAAAACCACGGAAAUUGUAAGAAAAACUUGGAAAUUUUUAUUGAAACUUUGCAGGGUGUUUAUUUAGUCAAUUAUCUAUUAGUUUAUCACAAAAAAUUGGAAGGAAAUGCAUUGCAUGAUGGAUUUAACUGAUUUAAGUUGAUUAUAUAGCGAGCUGGCAAACAUUGUGAGUGUAGAAAAUAUGUAGUAAUUAAUGAAAGAAGUUUAAACACACCAUAAUCAUUUAUAUAUAAUGAAUUAGUACAAUAUUUUACACUUUAUACAUUGCAUGGUAAGAUACAUGAGUGACUUAGUACCACAUAGAGUUCCUAUGAGGUUCAAAUUUUUCACUAUCUUCAUCAUCUCUAUGUGUAGAGUAAGUGUAUUGUGAAGAGUAGUUAUCAAAUGAUAAAUCCCCAAAAUAGUUUUGCAUGUAAUUGUUAACAUACCACCCAUAUGGAUCCAAGAUUGGUUGACGUUGUCCAUAAGCAAAAUCAUUUGAAGAUUGAGUCUCGGAUUCUUUCCAUGAGUCGCUCGAUUCCAUCCCAACAGGAAUGGGAUAUGAAGGGUAGGGAAAUGGUUGGUUAUGAGUAUAAUCAUAGUUACUACUUCCCACUCCAACAGAGUCCGAAGUUAUAAAUAACGAGUCAUCUUCUUGACUUAACAAAAUCCCCUUGCCUCUUUCUCUACGAGUAUAGUCUUUCCCUAUGGCACUAAUUCCUGGUCUUGCCCGCCUACUGCCAUGGUCCUCAUCCUGUGUUGCAUGCGUGAAGUUUGCCUCACCAGUGAAGGGGCUCAUAAAUCCGGGAGGUGGUCCAACAUAGUUUCCAUAUCCACUACUACCUCCAGCUCCACCUCCGGUGGUAGGUGAAACCACCAUUAUUUUGUCCACGGUAUGAAAUUGUACAAGUUGUAAUUGUAAAAGUUGUCAGGGUUUUGAAUUAUUUAGAUGCUUUUGAAUGAAACCACCAUUAUUUUUGUCCAUGGUCUGAAAUUGUACAAGUUGUAAUUGUAAAAGUUGUCAGGGUGCAAACCACACACGCACACAGACACACGCCACCACACACGCACACAAACAUCACACAUGCACACAGAGACUCUUGAUCAUUUUCUCCUCCCUUCUCUCUUCUCCCUUCUCCCACACACACACACAGAGAUUUCUCGAUCCUUCUCUCUUCUCCCUUCUCCCACACACACGCACAGAGACCUCAGUCUCUUGAUCCUUCUCCCACAUGGCCUUCUGCUCCUCCUUCGCCUUCCUCCUCAUCCGCGUCUUCCGCCUCGUUGGCGCCGUCUCUCUCUCGAAACUCUCAUCUCUCUCCUUUCUCUCUGCACCAAGACCCACAUACACACACGCACAUCAUCGCACCUGCUUGAGGAAGACACCCAUCGUCAUCAGCAACCUCGUCUUUCUCCCUCUCCUUCUCGUCUCUGCAACUCGACGAACGUAGGAACCCUCCGGCGAGUUUCUUGAAUUUUUCCAUUUAGGUAAGCUUCGGUUUACCUCUUUCUGUUCUAGAUUGAAGCUUAGAUGUGAAAUUUAAGUUCUAUCUCGUGUUUUUGCAAGGUUUUUGGGACGAAAUCAGCUCGGGAAUAGGCACAUCCAUCUCCGGCGAGGCCGUGGGUGUCGACGAACUUUCCGAACACCUCCGACCGUUUCAUGACAAACGGAAGUUAUAAAAACAUUUCUCUCAUCUUGUAUUUCAUUUUGAUACCUAGAUCGAAGUCUAGGGUGCUCUUUUACAGUCGCCCGGAGCUGUAGAAGCUCCGGCGUUCUUCUCCGAUUCGUACAUCUCUAAAAUAUCGCGAUAUUAUCGGUAAUAUCGCGAUAUUGUCGAUAUUAUCGAUAAUAUUGUGAUAUUUUGACGAAACCUCAGUGGAUAAGUAUUAAAAUAUUGGUAACUCAAAAAAUCGAUAUUAUCGGCGAAAUAUCGCCUAUAAUAUUGGCAUUUCAGACCUUGCUCUUACCUAACCCACAUGAUUCUUUGGGAUGGAAUCACAUUUGGUGGUCCUUCUUGUUUGUUAUACAUAUGUGGUAGGGAAUAGGGAUGGGCAAUGGUUAUGGCGGGCGGGUAACCGCGAUUAUUUACCCAUAACUGUUUAUGCUCGUACUCGCAUAACCGUUUACCUGUUGGGUAAUUGCCUAAACGAUUAUGCCCAUACCCAUAACAGUUUAUAAACGGUUAACCAUACCCAUAACUAUAUACCCAUUUAACCGUAACCGUUUAAUACCUGUUUACCAACUUUUUAACCCGUUUAUCUUUUCUUUUUUUUACCGUUACCCAUUUUUUCACCCAUCUACAUGUUUUUUAACAACUUGAAAAUUAAAAAAAAAAUUGUCAUAAUUUUCUUUUUUUUUGACACUUAAACACCGUUAUAGGUACAUUCAUCAUACAUUUCCAUAUUUUAAUUUUUGAAGUCCUUAUAUCAUUCGAAUAAUUGAAAUAAUAGUUUACAGACGAUAUUUAUAACUGUUACCAAUGAAGGUAAAAAUAAUAUUUUCUAAGUAUUAUUGGGUUACAAAAUUGUUUAGAAGACAUUUCUGUCAAAACAUUUAUGUCAAUUUCAUGGUUACCCACAAGGAAUUUAAAUUAAUUUGGCCAAUUCCUUGAUGAUGAGAAUCAUCAUUCAUGUAGCAGUGUUAUUGAGAGAAGAACCGAUGAAUUCCUUGCUAAUUUAUUGGAUGCUAAGUAUUAUUGGAUCGAGAAUAUGGUUUGUGUUAGUUUUACCUAUAUAAAUAAAUGGGUAAACGGUUACCCGUUUAUAACUGAAGUUAAUACCCAUAACCGCUUAUUUAAAUUUCGCGGGUAAACGGUUAUACCCAUAACCAUUCAUUUAUCUAAACGGUUACCCAUAACCGUAACCGUUUAAUUUAAAUGGACGAGUAACUGCAGUUACCCAUAACCAAUGAUUAUUUGCCCAUCCCUACCAAUGAUCAUGUCGGCCUAUCUUCAUUUUUGCAACAUUUUUCUUGAUUAGUUGGAAAGACAAGUCCAUGUGAUUUUCCAUGAGAAAAUGAAUAAAACACAUGGCUCUGCUACGGUCCUUCACCAAUCGUAUAUUUUUUCCAUGACCGAUGUCCUUGAAAAAUUGGAAGACAUAACCAUGUGAACAUAAUUGCUUGAGCAGCUGGGUCUCUGGCCCGUCCGCAUUCAAUUGCCUCCAACUUGUACACGAACGUAUCAAAUUCCUAACCUAUAUCCGAACCAAAGAGAUUGAGUCCUCACAUUUUAUAUAAGCUAAAACUGUUGAAAUAGCACCAUGGGAAAAAAAAUCUUGUCUCAAGCAUGUCUUUGAUUUUUUUAUAGACCUUCAUUUAAGAGAGGCUGGACACUGGGUUGCUUUCGUUUGGUCAUCGACUCGUGAAGUGUUGUUGAUAACUUGUAGACAAGUCCAUGUGAUUUUUGAUGAGCAAACUCUCUCUCACUUGGGUCCAUCCCAGUGCUUCAUCACCAAUCAUUUUAGGUAACUGACGGCUUGCAGCAUACCGCUUUAGCUAUAUAUGCACACAGUUCAGGAGCAAACCAACACAAGUCUUCUAUUCCCAAGCAUAUCUUAUCAAAGCACAUUCUGUCCUGAAAUUCAUUUGAACUCUUUAUUGUUCCUUUUUACAGAAAUUUUAAAACCAUGGGUUUCCGAUUUCCUGGUAUUAUACAUGCCAAGAAAAAUCAAGUUUCUUCAAAGUCAUUGGAUGUUCCAAAAGGCUAUCUUGCUAUCUACGUUGGGGAGAGCCAGAAGAAGCGGUUUAUUAUUCCUGUGUCCUACUUGAACCAACCUUCAUUCCAAGAUUUGUUAAGCCUAGCUGAAGAUGAAUUUGGAUACGAUCAUCCAAUGGGUGGUAUCACAAUCCCCUGCAGUGAAGACAACUUCCAUCGUCUCACCUCAGCUUUGCGGUAUAUGUAGAGAGGCUACAUAUACAUCGAAACGAUUUUGACACCAACGGCUGUAGGAGCACUUGGCAAUUUUAAUCGCUUUCUGGCUCACUUGAAGGAGGUUCAAUUGAUCCAUCGUCCAAUGAAUCAUUGUGAUGGAAGACAACAUCAACGUCAAACUGCUUCUGAGCUGAGAGGAAAAUGGCCAGCCUAGCGGACCUAAACUCACUGACAAUUUUUCAAGAAUAGUUAUUGUCAACUGAAUGUACAUAGUUGUCCUGCAAGGAAAACUGAGAUUAGAAUAUUUCAUUACAAUACAACGUUUUCACAGUUUCAUGAUUUACUGUUCAUUUUAGUUGCCAUCUUCUUUCUAUCAAGUUAUGAACAGACGAUAAAUUUACACACAAGGGACUAAUUCCUGGAAUAUUGACAGACGAAGUAAUGCAAGUAAACAUGGCGGAUUUAAAAACAUGUUAAGAAUGGACUAUUGUACGGAUAAAAUUUUAAAUAUAACAAGCAUUGGAUGCACCCUGAAUAGCACUAAUCCCUGCUGAAAUUACCAUGAAAAUACCAAUAUGUGCAUUGAAAAUGCCCCAAAUUAAAUAGCACUAGUCUAUGCUUAAAUUCUCAAAAAAAUAUCAAUGCAAACAUUCUUAUACAUUAUUUUAUUUCAUAGAAGUUUUCUUUUGGUCGACAUUAAAAACCUAUUCAGGCAAAUCCCUUAAGACAUGCACCAAACGUAUUAACCAUGCUAGGUUCUCAAGAUUUACAACUCUUUAUAUGAUUAUAUUACUUACUAGCCUGGUCAAAAAGUUUCAACCAUACAGAUAUUAGCAAAGCAAAAAUAUAGUCUCAAGUAGGUUCUUUACUGCAAGAGAUCAGCCUAGAUACUUAAUUUUUGCCAGUGUCAACAACUACGACUCUUACCUUCCCAAAAUUGAUCUGAUUACUCGAAUAAUUGGUACCUAUACAUACGAAUGCUCUUACUUGAUUUAGUGUGUUGACAGUGAAAUCUGUACGUACUAAAAAAAUUCCCUUUAUGGGAGCUACAGGUCUUUGGCUAGCUAAUUGAGUACUGACUUGUGUUAAAUCUCUCAUGGAUUAGAUCACAUGAUUGGUGAUUAAGCCAAAAGAACUGGGGGCCGAAGCUAUUUGGAAGCUCCUGAGUCAAUGUCCGUCUUAUUAAAGAAGCACCAUGUCCACUCUCAGCAGCUGUAUAGAUGUAACUAAAACUGAGAAUAUAUCCAUCGUUUUACCAGUUUGAGCAUGGAAACUUGUUGCUAUGAUAUAGUAGUUCAACCACAAAUAAAUUUGUGUUGGGUCCGCAUAUGUAGUAUGUUGAACUAGCAACCUGGAAGAAAAUGCCUGUUUUCACAUGUCUCUGAUUUUGUAGUCAUGUAUCUAUUCUUCCAAAAGGAUUCAUUUAUGCAAAUUUUAAUCUGAUCUGAUGGCAUUGGUGGUAAUUAGUUGGAGACAAGUUCAUGUGGUUUUCUAUGAGCUAAUCUCUCUCAUGGAACCAUCUUGGUGCCUCAAUCACCACUCAGUCGUUUCAGAUAAUAGAUGGUUUAUGGCAUAUACCCAUUUAUCUAUGUUGGAAGAAUAAUGUUGUUGGAAGAAUAAUGCAAGCUUUAACAGCUCAGCUUAGGGAGCUUUCGGCUAGUCUUAGUGCUAGUGUUAGCUAUUAUUCCCUCAUCAUUGUAAAGCUAGUUAGUGAGAGUGGAGGUCAUCAUCAUGCUUGCUUAGCUGCCAUUAUUCUCUACCUUUUGUCCUCUAUUCUUCUUUCCCAUUUCUUCUUCUAUAUAUGUUUGAUCUUGUAACUGUUUUAUACAUGAAAUAUACAUAAAAAAUUCAAUAUGGUAUCAAAGCAGGAACUCUAAAUUCCUGACUCUAGUAAUCGUUUCCGCUAAGUUUCUUUUGCUCUAAGCCAAGAUGGCUGAAGAACUCUCUGAAACUGAAAGCUCGAUGGAUGCUCCAGCAUUUUCUGACGUUGAGGUCAAUCCUAAUCAACGUCUUAGUUCUGUUUUGUUGAAUGAAUUCAACUACCUUCCCUGAAGUCGUGCAGUAUCUCUUGCACUUGGAAGAAGAUCAAAGCUUGGCUAUGUAAAUGGUGCUAUUGAAGCUUCAGUAGUCACUUCUUCUACAUACGAGUCGUGGCUGUGCAAAGAUCAGUUGGUCAUGUCUUGGUUGCUCAAUUCAAUGGAGCGAAGGAUUGCUGAAAUUUUCAGUUAUUCUGAGUCAUCCAUGCAUCUCUGGAAGCAAGUAAAAGAGAUGUAUGGAAAUCAAAAUAAUGCUGCCCGUGUUUUCCAGCUUAAGAAGAAUCUAGCAAGUCUACAACAAGGAAGCAAAGCAUUUGUUCAACAUCUUGGCAGUCUUGCAACAUGUGGAAUGAGCUCGAUGUUUAUCGUCCUCAUACCACUAAUGCCACUGUGUUGAUCAAGAGAGCAGAAGAAGACAAUUUUUCAACUCUUGGCAAGCUUAGGUCCAGAGUUCGAAGACCUCAGAAGUCACAUCUUAAUGAAUGCUGAACUCCAUUCCUUCACUGGUGUGUGUGCCAUAAUCCAAAGGGAAGAAGUAAGGAAGAAAGUCAUGAAUCAAGAGACUAAAGACAACGUUUCUGAGACUAGGGCUUAUGUCUCUAGCAACAAACGUCCUGAAAGCAAAGUUUACAAGGGAAAAAGACCAGAUUUAAAGUGCAGCUACUGUGAUUCUCUUGGCCAUAUAAAAGACAGAUGUUGGAUUCUUCAUCCAAAAUUGAAGCCUAAGUUCUCGAAGGAGACAAAAGGUCCAGAGAUAAAGGGUACACAAAAAUAUCUAAACAAUAAUAGCUACAAGGCUAACCAUGCAGCUACCUUGUCGACAGAAGGAAUGGUAAAUUUCACUACCAAUCCUGCUGCAUUAAUCAAUGAUUUUGCAGCAUAUCUCCACAGCAAACAAGUGCUUAACAAUAGAGAUGAAGCUCCCGUAGCUGAAGAGAAGAAUCACACAGCUUUACUUGGAAAAUUUGCUGGUUUUCUGGCUAAACAUGAUCAUGUUUCACAGAAAGAUAUCCCAGGUAUUUUCAGUGCCUUCUCUACUGCCCUAAAUGCUAGUAAUGAACAUGAUUAUUGGAUCAUUGACUCAGGAGCCACGGAUCACAUGACAAAUAAAAUUAAUAACUUACAUGAUUUUACAAAAAUGACAAAUUUUUCUCAAGUGUCCGUAGCUAAUGGGAAGGGUGCCACAUUUGUAGGAAAAGGAAAAAUCAACUUAUUGUCAAAACACAUAGAGUCAGCAGCCCUUUACAUACCUUCUUUUCCUUUUCAACUUCUAUCAGUAGGAGCUAUCACCAAUUCUCUAAACUGUCUAGUCAUUUUCUCCCCUCACAAUGUCAUUUUUCAGGAUAUCAUCACCAAGAGAACGAUUGGUGAAGGUUUCUUGUUGAAUGGGCUUUACUACUUGGCUAAAGACACUAAUAAUCCCAAGUUUUUUCAAGUCAGUUCAAGUGUUUUUCAAGAUCAACAACUUUGGCAUCAACGUUUGGCACAUCCUUCUGAUAAAGUAAUGUCUUUUUUGUUUCCAAAAAUAUGUAAGGACAAGUUAAAGUGUGAUGUUUGUCACUUGUCUAAAUUUUCUAGGUUGCCUUUUGAUUCUUCCACUUCUAGAGCUAGCCAUCCUUUCGAAAUCAUUCAUUCAGACAUUUGGGGUCCAAUACUAGAGUCAUUUGAUGGAUAUAAAUACUUUGUAACCUUUGUUGAUGAUUUUACAAGGAUGACUUGGUUGUAUCUUUUGAAAUUUAAGAGUGAACUUUCAAAUGUUUUUCAAGAUUUUCACAAACUGGUUGGUAUUCAAUUUGCAUAAAAAAUUCAUAUAUUAAGAUCCGACAAUGGCACUGAAUACAUGUCCCAUAACAUGUCUCAAUAUCUUAGUAUUCAUGGAAUACUGCACCAAACUACAUGUGUUGGCACACCCCAACAAAAUAGGAUUGCUGAGAGAAAGAAUAAAGACCUUCUUGAGAAGACAAGAUCAAUCAUGUUUCAUAUGAAUGUGCCAAAGAAAUUUUGGUCACAAGGAGUACUUACAACUGCCUACCUAAUCAAUAGAUUGCCUAGUAAAGUACUCAGUUUCAAGUCUCCAUAUGAAGUGUUGAAGGACAGACCGAAUGAUCUCUCACACUUGAGAGUUUUUGGGUCCACUUGCUUUGUUCACAACCAAUCUCUCCACCGUGAUAAACUGGAUCCUCGAGCAACCAAAUGUGUUUUCUUUGGCUACUCAUCUACCCAAAAGGGCUACAAGUGUUACAAUCCAAUCACAAAGAAAAUAAUGGUUUCAAGGGAUGUGAGAUUUGAUGAAAACAUGCCCUACUUCUCCAAGAAACUAAGUGAUACAGAUCAGGGGGAGUUUUUGAGUGACAUGUUUCCAUUAUCUAGUGUUCCCCUCUAUCAAGAAAGUCCCAUUUCAUGUAACCCACCAACUCUAUUGCAUGAGAUACCUUCAUCUCAAACCACAGAUAUUGAACCUUAAGUUCCAAUUCGUCGAAACCCUUCUAGGGUUCAACAGCCUCCAAUUUGACUACAUGAUUAUGUCACCUACACUUCUAGGUAUCCUCCUACAAACUUUGUUUCCUAUAAGUAGUUUUCCCCCUCUCAUACUUCUUUUCUUAGUACCUUGGACAAUACUCAUAAACCACAAACAUUUCAAGAAGCAAAUGAACUUGAAAUCUGGCAAAAAGCGAUGAGGGAUGAACUGCAAGCUCUUCAUGACAACCGAACCUGGAGUGUAGUUAAACUUCUCGAAGGGAAGAAAUCGGUUGGCAGCCGUUGGGUGUACAAGACUAAGUUCAACUCAGAUGGGACGAUUGAAAGGCACAAAGCUCGUUUGGUGGCUCGUGGAUUUACCCAGACUUAUGGCUUGAAUUACAAGGAAACAUUUGCUCCCGUAGCCAAAAUGAACACUGUAAGGGUUAUAUUAUCAGUUAUCGUUAAUAAGUCUUGGCCUCUUUAUCAAACGGAUGUGAAGAAUGCUUUUUGCAUGGGGAAUUAGAGGAGGAAGUGUACAUGAAACUACCACCCGAACAUCCUCAAUCAGAUGACCCUGACAUGGUUUGUAAACUGCACAAAUCUACUUAUGGAUUGAAACAGUCUCCACGUGCAUGGUAUGCAAAACUGAGCUCCAUUCUUGAAAAGUUUGGCUUUCAAAGAAGUAGUGCUGAUUCCUCACUAUUUGUUCGUGAUGGCUUAGUUGGAAAAGUAAUCGUUUUAAUCUACGUUGAUGAUCUUAUAGUGACAGGUGACAAUGCUGAAGAAAUUCACUUUCUUAAGCUUACUCUGCAAAACAAAUUGGCAAUCAAAGAUUUGGGACGUCUCAAAUAUUUCCUUGGUAUUGAGCUUGCAAAUUCACAUGAAGGCUUCUUUCUCAAUCAAAGGAAAUACAUUCUUGAUCUUUUGAAAGACUCUGACUUAAUAGAUAGUAAACAUGCACGUACUCCUUUGGAUAGCAAGCUACAACUUAGUACUCACAGUGAAGCUUUCUUUGAUAUUACUAAGUAUCAAAGACUUGUAGGAAAGCUUAUUUAUCUCACAAUCACGCGUCUUGAUAUCUCUUAUGUCGUGAGUAUUGUGAGUCAAUUUAUGCAUGCUCCUACAUUAGCUCAUAUGCAAAUUGUGAAGAGAAUUCUUCGUUAUCUAAAAGGGUCUAUUUGUCGAGGACUCCUUAUGACAAAAAAUGAUAGCACUGCCAUCAUGGGAUAUACAGAUGCUGAUUGGGCUGGGAAUUCUCUUGAUCGUAAGUCAACAACAGGUUUUUGCACCUUUGUAGGUGGCAAUUUGGUAACAUGGCGCAGUAAGAAGCAAACUGUGGUAGCUCGAUCCAAUGCAGAGGCCGAGUAUCGAGCUAUGGCCUCCACUGCGUGUGAACUUAUUUGGCUGAAAAGCCUUCUGUUGGAUCUAGGCUUUCCCAGCAAUGAACCUAUGUCUAUGUUCUGUGACAAUCAAGCUGCCAUGCACAUUGCUUCCAAUCCGGUCUUCCAUGAGAGAACAAAGCAUAUUGAAGUGGAUUGUCAUUAUGUUCGAGCACAAGUUCAAUCCAAAAUCAUAACCACCUACUAUACUCACAGUCAUGAUCAGUUGGCUGACAUUUUUACCAAAUCUCUUCCUACGGUUCCGUUUCUAUGCAUUAUGUCCAAGCUUGGCUCAAGGGAUCCCCUAGAUCUAGCUUGAGGGGGAGUGUUGGAAGAAUAAUGUUGUUGGAAGAAUAAUGCAAGCUUUAACAGCUCAACUUAGGGAGCUUUCGGCUAGUCUUAGUGCUAGUGUUAGCUGUUAUUCCCUCAUCAUUGUAAAGUUAGUUAGUGAGAGUGGAGGUCAUCAUCAUGCUUGCUUAGCUGCCAUUAUUCUCUACCUAUUGUCCUCUAUUCUUCUUUCCCAUUUCUUCUUCUAUAUAUGUUUGAUCUUGUAACUGUUUUAUACAUGAAAUAUACAUCAAAAAUUCAAUAAUCUAUAUAUUUUAUGGCCAGGCUCAGAAGAAAAUCACAAAGCUUUCUCUCAUUUUUUGAAGUCAACUGAAAUUUCCAUUGUUGCUUAAUUUUGUCAUUAAGAAACUUUUAAUUAUGGGUUUCCAGUUGCCGGGCACUGUUCAUGCUAAGAAAUUCCAAAUUUCGGCGUUGGAAUUCCUAAAUGAGAACUAUAAUGUAUUAUUAUUUUUUAGGAAUAAUUAGUAUCCGGUCCCUAGUUACUAAUGUUCAUUGACUGAAAUCUUAUUAGUUUUCAGAUUUUGAUCCAAAUCCCUACCAUUAAUGUAUUAAUGAAUUUACAUGUCAAUUAUAUAAUUGUUUAAAAUAAAAAUUAAUAAUUGAUUUAGGAUUUUAAUACUCCUACCUUUAUUAAACUCCUAACUAAUUUUUAAUCCAAAACAUUUCCAAAAUAAAUAAAAAAUUAGAAUAAGUUUGUACCCAUUAGCUUUUUAAAAAAUGUUUUCAAUUUUUUAAUCUUAUAUGUACCCAUUCAUGUAAUUUUUUCAAAUUUUUAAUCUUAAAAUGUACCCAUUCUUAAAUAUAUCAAUUUGUUAUAUGUAAAAUGUACCAUUUUUUGCUAGCAAAAAAAAUGUAUUCAGGUUUAAACUUAUAUGGGUACAUUUUUAGCUAGUAAAUUUUUUUUUCAAACUUAUAUGGGUACAUUCUUUUUCUUUGAUUUGAGAAUGUAAUCAUGUUAAGUUUCAUCGAAGAAAUUUAAUAAUGUUAUUAAGUCUAAUAUCUAAUUUUUUUUGUGGUUUUGAAGAACGUACCCAUGUUUUGGUUCACUAAUUUUUUUGUUAAUUUUUAUGAAUGUACUCAUGUUUUUACACACACACACACACACAAUAGUAUAAUUUAUAUUUUAAUAUUUUUCAUCCCAUAAAUUAUGGGUUUUGAUUUAAAAUCUCAUUAACAUAAACAACUAUAAAUUUCAAUUUUUAAUUUAAAAAAAUAUAGUAACAUAAAUAGAAAUAAAUUAUCACAUUUAUUUCAAGGACGUAGAUCAAAAAUUGAAAACCAACAAGAUUUCAAUAAAAAAAUAUUGAUAGAUAGGGACCUCAUCCAAAGUCUCCCUAUUUUUUAUUCUGCUGGUUAUCUUAUAUAUCUUAUGUUUGGGUUCUAGUGAACUCUUAUGUAUCCUACAUCUUUCUAUCACCUAUUAAUUUUUGGGUGUAUCUCAGGAUCGGGACGUGACACCUCAACCGUGAUAAAUCGAAUGUAUAAUUAAGGAGAGAUUUGUUAGCCUAUGACCUUGUAUGCACCCGCUAUUGAUUCAGUACUUUGUAUCCAUACAAUCUCUGUUAAGUAGUAACAUCCAUCUAGUAAGGCUAGCUAAGUUGUCUAGCUAAAGCAGUGAGCUCCUAAAUGCUUCGAUGUAAUUAGGAAUGAAACCAUGUAAUUAUAAGUUGUAAAUCCCGAUUUGAGAUUUUCAACAAAAACAUGGUACAUCACAAUUCCAAAAAUUGUAAAACUGAGCUGUUAUUUUCACGGCAAAAUAGUAUUUCCCUUGUAAAAAUGCUGUGAUCAUUUACUGAAUUAUUACUGCAACUUUUAUGUACAUCAGAGCCUAACAUCCUUAUCCACAUUUAUAAUCUUUAUUCACAUCAUCCUUCAGAGAGUACAUUUCGCACUCACAAAAGGGAAAAGUAUUUGUACAGUAUGAAGAAAAAUUCUUGCUUUACAAAAAUGUGACUCAACUCGUAAUCACAAUGAAUUCAUAACUGAGAAAUAAUAUCAAUGAAGGUAUCUUGUCUGCAGGGAAUUGUUAGACCACCCAUUGGAUGAUCAAAUCCAAAUUCUUGUUCAGCCUCACUUAGCAAGUCUUGGAAUGAAAGUUGGUUGAGGUAUGAUACAGGAAUGACAAACCGCUGUCUCUCGCUCUCCCCAACAUAAACCGCUAAUAACCUUUUGGGACAUCUGCUAAAUUAUGUGAACCACCUCGACUUGAAUUUGAAAAAGACCGCCGAAGAAUUUUCUUUGCAUGAGUUACACUUGGACGACGGAAACCCAUGAUUUUAUGUCUUUCUGGAGAAAUGUCCGGUGCAAGUUUAUUGGAGAAAGAAGAAGAGAAGAGUUGAGAAUAUUCAGAGGCUUGAAUGAAUAAUGGCAAUGAAAGUCUCAUGAAAUAAAUAUAGUUAAAGUUUUAUGUAGGAUUUGUCCUCUGUUGAAAGAAAUAUGUGGUGACAAUUAAG
rnacentral:lncRNA from 1 species